AAGCAAUUCCCUUCACUUCCUCAGAAUGCCCUCCUUACGAUCUAUAAAGCUCGGUCCGAACGCAUGCGAUUACUCAUGAGGAAUAACAUACUUGCUGAUAUCCGUUGGUUAAUCGAGGCUAAAGUACGAUCGGCAGGUGAGUUACCUCCAAAAUUUAUUGCAUACAUGCCUGGUUGUGGUAAAGAAAAUUAUGCAAGAAAACGACGAGCUCGAAGAAUUUCUGUUGCUUGUCAUAAGUGUGCCAGAAUGAGUUGCAAUAAAAACCCAUGUUCUUUAGGAAUGAUGUCUGAUAACAGGGAAGAUAAGAUUCAAUUCAUUAGGGAUGACUUGAAUAAGGAGUCAUUGGAUGAUAUCCUUUUGUCUCUUGAAACGCAUCCCAGUGGAUAUGUGCAAGGAGCGAUUCUCCAGUUAUGGCCAUUAUUCCAGAAAGAGCAUGCACGAUAUAUUCUCGGGAAUCUAACUAUAAACGACUCUGUUUGCCAGUUUAUAAGAAAACUGGAUAGGAAGCCUAUCCUCGACCCAUAGAGGGCGUUCAAGCCGUUUCUGGACGUAAAACCAGAGGAAGAUGUGAGCCACAGUUGUUAUUUUAUUUCACUAUUGUCUUAUUGUUUGCAUUAUUGUCUUUAAUAAUUUUAUUACUGUUUGCUUUUUCCUUAUUACUGUUUGCUUUUUCCUUUUUACUGUUUCUUUUUGACUCGCGAGCCACGUGCUUUACGCGUUAUUUGACAUUGACAUGUGACCUCAUACACAACUAUGACCCACUAUCACCAAGACUCUUAAAUGUGAUUUUCUUUGUCAAGCACUCACAAAUUAUUUUUGCGAAGUAUCACAAUGGCAGCUACUCCCAAUAGACAAUUCAAGAACAUUUGUGUGCUUUCUGGAUUUACAUAUGGCAAACAUAAAGAGUUCGUUGAGGCAGCCAUAGAUCUUGGUCGAAGCAUAGCAGCGAGAAAAUUACACUUGGUGUAUGGAGGAGGUAAUCGAGGGUUAUCAAAAAUGGUCUCAGAAGCAGCUUUUAUCAGAGGAAGUCAAGUGUUAGGCAUCAUCCCAAGAGUCGUAAAACCAUUAGGCAGUUCGUCUGACUCAUCAACUGGAGAAGAGUUAGUCGUCUCAGGUAUGCAGGAAAGAAUAACUGAAAUGCUUAAUCAUGCUGAUGCUUUUAUUUUCCUUCCAGGAGAUCUUGCAACACUAGAGGCACUUAUCACGCUAGCAUCUUGGGUCCAUCUCCACAUCCACCAGAAACCCAUCGGUUUGUUAAAUGUAAAUAACUUUUAUGAUGGCUUUAUCGCAUUUCUUAACCAUGCAAUAAAAAACUAUUUCAUUCCCGCUAAUGUGAAAAAACUCUUUAUUUGUGCUCACACUGCUAAUGAGCUACUUGAUCUGUUACAAGCUUAUAGAUCGGAGCCAGACCCCUGGACCUUUGUGUUGGAGCGUCCAAAUAAUGAUGGUAACAGUAGCAGCAGUAAGAAGUACAAAUUAGAUUUAACUCUCCGCCUGUAAAUAUUUUCUUCUGUGUUGCACCACCCAGGUGAUGCCUUCUAAACUCUACUUCUUUCCUUUCAAACAUUGAGGACAAUGUUUCGUUCUGGUUAGGGGGAGAGAAUAGUCGAUAAUUGUGGAAUCUUGGUUAGGUUUUUACUGAUUUUUUGUUGUAGAAACUAACUGUUGCUAACUUUUUGUGUUGAAGAUGGCUGAAUAUGGAGUGUAGUUACUCUAGAAACGCAUCUUCAUCGUUUGAAAAAAAAAUCAAAAAAAAAAUUUGCACAUUUUCUUUUUCUUUAUUAAGUUUUGAUGUUUAUUUUUCUUCUUAUUAAUUUCUCCUCUAUGAAUAUAUAUUUUCCAACUUUUGAGUCGAAGAUGGCUGAAUAUGGAGUGUAGUGCCUCUAGAAACGCAUCUUCUUAGUAAAAAAAAAAAACCAUUUUCUUUUUCUAUCAUUUUAAGUGUACUUUUUCUAAUUAGUUUUUUUUUUUUUGCAUCAUUUUCACAUUUCUGCAUGCAUAUUUUCCUUUCAUGUUUAGAAUAGGUUGGGGGGUAGAAUGUUGUUUAAAAAAAAAAUUGUGUGAUUUGUUUUAACAUUGGGUGACAUGAUUAAUUUAAAUUUUAGUAUUUGUAUUAUCUUUGGUCUUAAGUGAUGUUACAUUAUGUUUGCUACUCUACAUGUUGAUGUCGGAGACAUAUAUGAGUUGCUUGAAGGAAUGAACAUGUCAUAAUAAAUACCAAGUGAGUUUUUGAGCCUAUCAUUUUUCUUGGAGAGUAACCCUUUUGCCCAUUUUUUAUACAGCUUAACAGUUUAUUAUUGUAUACACGAUCUCUAGAUUUUUUUUGAGUUAACCCUUAAUAAAAAAAAGAAAAAAAAAGUGUGUUGCUAUAUUUGGAGGCCCAUCUAACUAGUAGAUAUGGAAGAUUAUUUAGAGCCCUAAAAGACGAUGGAAAGGCCAUCUUUGAUCCGUUUGAGUCUUUCUAGCCAUCCCUUUUAUCAAAUAUCCAUAGUUAACCUUUUUGAGCCUUUAAAAAAAAAAAAACUUUUUUCUUUGUCAACUUAUCAUCUUGACCCACUCCGAUUUGGAGUAUUACCCAAUGUCUUAUAAGUUCCAUCACCUAUUUAUGUUUGAGAAAAUGUAAAUAAUUAUGUUGUUCAGUAAAGUUAUGCAAAAAAAAAAACAAACAAAACAAAAGUUUUUGUUUCAAAAGAAAAAAAAUAAAAAUAAUAGGUGAAAUCCACCUUGCAACUUCCAAAAAAAAAAAAAUUCUCUGCAUUUUUCUCAAACAUACACUUUGUUUUCCUUAUUUUCCUUCUUUGUUAGCCAUGUCCCUAGCCUACGUUACGUCCUAAUAAAAGUCCUUCUUGAUUUUAGGGAACUAUAGUUUGAAGUAGAAGCUAGUUAUAUGGGCUAAAAAGAUGUAGUGAUGCAUAAUAAAAAAAAAAGAUAAAUAAAUUGGGUUGACUAGCAUUUUUGUUUGACUUGAGAUCGUAUUAUUUCUAAGCUGAGGGCAUAUUUAUUUCAUCUUGGUGAGAGCAUGUGAUAUCACUUCUUUAUUAUUUUCUCUCUCAAUUACCAUUCAUUGGAGUGAUUAUUUUUAUUGGUUUUAAUUUCUUUGUGAGAGUGUCACUACUUCCAGUGAGAUUUUGGGGUUUGACAUGUCAUUCUUGAAAGUAGCUAUGACAAAGUCUACUGGGCUGAUUCAUGUGGAUGGUUGAUGUGGGUGUGAUGUUGCUUUAGACUUGAGAUAAUGCUUAUACUUUUAUUUGAUUGCUAUCAUUAAUCUGACGGAAUAAAUACGAGUGUUUCUAUUAAAAAAAACAAUAUUUUGAAUUUGAAUUUUGUUUUCGCUUUAUUUGCUAGGGACUAACAAUAAGCUGGUUGGGGGGUGUGUUGAGUGUUAGAAAAUGCAUAUUUAUAAAGGAGAAAACCGUCAUUUUACAUUUCAAGUCUUACUAACAACCCUUACUUUUAUGUAUUUAAUCUUCUUGUGAUUUAAUUACAUGUGUUUUAUUUUAAUUAAGUAUUUUAUGUAUUUUAGGGGCAUUAUAGUCAUUUCACAAUAAAGGAGAGAUCAGACGGCAAAACGGACAUCACUUUUGAACUCAGGACAGUCGAAAACCUUAGGAGGAGCAUAAAAGGAAAAAUGGCACUAUUCAUAUGUACGGUACUAUUCACGUGUACGGUACUAACUACGUUACUGUUCACAAUACUGUUCACAUAGACGGAUCGAUGACGUGGCAUUGACCGAUGAUGUGGCAUUGACUGAUGAGGUGUCACGAUCCUGUUGGGCUAAAAUUCUUAUGUAUUGUUGAUGGUGACGUGGCAGCAUAUCAGUGGAUGAAAAAUCUCGCGUACGGUACAUGCAUCACACAGGAUUAUUUUCAACCAAACCGCGUUACUGUUCAUACGAGUCAAACCGUGUUACUGUUCAUCCGCGUGGUCAAACCGUGGACUGUUGACUGAUGACGUGGCGCAAUCCUGAGCGUCCAAACUGUUUUUAAUCCGAUGGCCAUGAUUUACUCUAUGUAUCUAUAAAAAGGGGGCCUCCCCCCCCUAAUUUGAUAUCUCUGAAUCCAUUUUUGGGAUUCAUUUUAUGUAAUUCCUUCUCCAUCUUGUAUUUUCUUCGUAUUUUAAUAAAUUCCUAUUUUGCCCCUAGUUCAAUUAUGAGUGGCUAAUUUUCUUUCAAGCUUGGGUUGAAGGUGAAGUCUCAACAUGUGUCAUGGGCUUAAUUUGGUAAAUUUAUUUUCUCUUCCUCUCUAGUUUUUGUGGAUGUUUUGACUUCUCGUCGACAAAUAAUAAUAAUCUUGUCUAGAUACCGCCUUGGUUACACCGGCUCUCUAGUAUAAGGUUAUUAUUAUUUGGCAUGAUAAGCCCUUAGCACCAUAUUGAUUAGAGCGUGGUUCAUGAGAUGUGGAUUCCCCCCUCAUGAUUUAAUUGGCAUUAAUACGGAUUAUUUAGCCCAUGAUGCAUGUUGAUACGGAUCCAGAUACCCAAGUACGUCAUUUCAAUAGAAUUAUCUUCAAUUUAUUCUCGCCAUUACAAUUCCAAUUUUAGAAUUUAUUCUCGCCAUUUUAAUUUAAGUUUUAGCAUAUUCCAAACCAUUUCCACCAUAAAUCCAACCACCCAUUUACAAAAUUAAUUCUACACAUAAUUAAAAUCCACCUCCUCGUGGGAUCGACACUCGUCACCAUUGAUUUAUACUAUAAUAGAUUCGUGCGCUUGCGAGUACAUUAAAAUUUGCACAACAGGAUCCAGAUACUUAAGUACGUCAUUUCAAUAGAUUUCGCUUCAAUUUAUUCUCGUCAUUUCAAUUCCAAUUUUAGAAUUUAUUAUCGCCAUUUCAAUUCCAAUUUUAGGAUAAUUUAAAUCACUUCCACCACAAUUCCAACCACCCAUUUACAAAAUUAAUUCUACAUAUAACUAAAAUCCACCUCCUCGUGGGAUCGACACUCGUCACCAUUAGUCUAUACUACAAUAGAUUCGUGCGCUUGCGAGUACAUUAAAAUUUGCACAACAUUGUGUCUUAAUGUUUCUACUGUUGCAAAAUCAAGUGUUCUAAUUUUAUGAGUUAUAUUAAAUAUUUUAUGGAUUUUCUAAUUCAACGAUCUCUGUCUUUAUCAUUACUGGACAAUUUUGAUACUUGCAUGUAAAAUUCUUUUUGCAAUAUGUUUAUGAUUUUAUUCAUUUUUUGAAUUUUUAUAUGAAAUGCUACACAUGUUUGUAGUUUCUUUUUUAAUUUUUACAAUUUUCCGACAUAUGAUUACCUUGGUAAAAUUCAGCUUGUAUAGGAUGGUCAGGUUUAGACUAAUUUUGAUGGUUUAGUGCUUAUGAGUUGGCUUGAUUAUGUUGGAUUUAUAUCAAGGUCAGAAUGAGCCAAAAUAAUUAUAAGAAUGUGUCUUGAUCUUUUAGGGCGAGUGUGAGCUCGUGGUUGAGGUUACCGUUCUUUUUAUUGCUGAGAAUUGAAGUAGAUUCAUGCAUGGUAUAUGUAUUUCACUAUUAAAUUACUUUUAAUUCUUGGUAUGUAUUAUGUUGAAUGAAAAGUUUAUGAAACUGAUUUGUUUAGCCUAUUACAAUAAUUUGUUAAUUAAAGUCAUUCUUUAAAAUUAUUUAUAACAUAAUUUUAUUUAUGAAAAACUUGUUUUAUAAAUUGUCUUAAAAAUAAAGACUUUUAUUAAAUUGUUUAAAGUCAAAUAUUUUGAAAUAAUUAUCAAUUAUUUAAAUGUAAUUUACAGAAGCUUACAAAUGAUUAAAAGUUUAAGGAUGGUUUUAAAUGAGUUGGCUCAUUAUAUGUAGUGAUGUUAUGUUACGGAAGGCUAGCCGGAUUUUUUGCGCAUAUGAUGUUAAUGUUAAUGAUUCUCGCGGGGUAUAAUGCCCUGAAUGAUGAUAUAUGGCUGGGUCAUUGGGUCUACAGGUGAUAUUAUGUGGCAUAAGCUAAAUUAAGUUUUAUGUGUUUAAAAUGGUAUUGUUAUGUUUAAAGGAUUUAAAUAACUUUAUGAUGUUUUGAUAUAUUUUUGCUAAAUGAUGAUUUACAAAGGUAAUUUCCCUUAUUAUUAUGCUUAUCUAAGAAAUUUUAAUCAAUUAUAUUUUAAUGAUUUUUAGCAUUGUACAUGAAUUUACUUACCGAGCUGACGACUCACCCCUCGCUACCACAUUUUUGCAGAUAGAGUUAGAUAAUAUGAGCUCAUGAUCUUAGGAGGAAGAAUACGAGCUCGAUUUGUUUUGGAGAUUAAUGUUAUGUUAAUAAUCUAUAAUUAUUUUAGCUUCCUUUGGGAUGAUAUUUAUUUGAAAUUUUGUUAUUUCAUUACUUAUUAUCUUUUGGAGGUUUAGAACAUUAUUGUUGGAUAUUAUUUUAAUGAUUUUAGAAAUGAGAAUGAUGAAAUAUAGUUUCACUUUAAUUUCAACUUAGUACCUUAUUAGUGGAAUUGGGGUGUUUCAUUAAUCGUUAGCAAAUUUUUAUAAUCAACAAUGAGCUAAAGAAAAUAAAUAUUUCAAAAUAAAAUAAUAAGUAAAGAAAACAAAGCAAAUAAAACUUAGAGAUUUAUUUUUUUUAAUACUAGAAUCUUUGGUUCAAGCAACCUCUUAAUUAGUUAACACUUAAGUCAGAGCUUGGUAUUAUAAUUUUAGAUUUUUUGAAUUAUUAUUGAUUUAUGAAUUAGAAUUUUUUUUUUCUAUAUUUAUUAUUUUCAAAUUUAAAUUUUUUAAAAUAAAGGGUUGGACUUAUCCCAGAUUUUUUUUUUGAUAAGCCCUUUUCUAGACUCUCAUGUGGAAGGUUAGACAAAAAAAACCAUGGGCCUUGGUCAGGCUGGCUUGAGUUUUUCUACCCACCCUAUUAAUAAACAUGAAUCAGACUUAGGACACGAAUGUAAACCUAAUAAUGCAUCAUAUCAAUUCAUGAGAUAAGGAUCUUCUCAUGACCUAAUUAUAUUUGAGAUUUAAGGUUUUUUUUUUUUUUACACAUAUUCACUUUUGGUUAUUAAUGAUCAAGAUUUACUUAACUAUUAUAUUCUCAUUUAUUAACUACCAAUCAUGUAAACAUAUUUGCUCAAAUAAAAAGACCAGAUCAUGAGAGAAUCUUGAUCCCAAUUAGCAACCAUAAUUGCUAAUCCUUUAAUUUUGACCUGAAUUUUUGACACCCCACUACAAUCCUUACAAAACCCCUCUCCUAUUCCAAUUACAUUAAAGAAUAAAAUAAAUGUAAUUUAAGGAUUCUCACUCUAACCCUUUACAAUUUACACCUACACAACUAGGCCAAAGGUUUUCUUUCUUUCUUUCUUUCUUUUUUUCAACUUUUUUUUCCUCACAAAGACCCUGUAUUCUAAACUUAUUAGCUUAUUUAAAAAAUUACAUAAUAAUUAUUUGAGUCUACUCUUAAUGCUAUUUAUUUCAUUCAUAUGUAUGAUUUGCUAUUUAUUUCAUUCAUAUGUAUGAUUUUUUAAUGAGUUAAAUAUAUAUAAUUAUUGGGUUUUUUUUUUCUGUUUUGAAUGAACUCUAAUUGAAAUGAGUGGAAGAAUCUGAAUUUUUAUUUUUAAUCAGAAAGAAACUGAAAAAUUAGAAAAGGAUAUUUUGGGGUUUGACUGAAAGGUGCUUCAAAGGAAAAUAACAGGGGUGGUAAUAGUCUUAGUCUUCAAGUCUACAAAAGCCCGUAGCGAUUCAGGCCUAGUAAAGCCCACCACAAUAACAAACAUCAAACGACGCCGUUGAGGUCGUCUGCGACCUUGCAAAGUGCAGUGGCAGUGCAUGAACACUUGAGCACCCAGAAAGUGAGAAAAAACUGAAGCACUUUUUCAUUUUAUUUAAAUCUCACGGUAACAAUACCGUUCAAUUAACAAGAAAUAAUGAGAUUAAUCACACACAAAACCCGCCAUUCUUUUAUCAGAACGAGGACAAAAAUCUCUCGUCUCAAAUCGAUGCAAUUUAGCACCUCUCAAACCUCCCUACACAGCAAUGAAGAAGCAGCCAAAGAAAUCACCAAUUUUCUCAACGAGAACCACUGGGAAUCUCUCAUUGAAUCAUCAAAACUGCGCAACAAGCUGAACCCAGAUGUGGUUCAAUCAGUUCUUCAACAUAGCCAUGUAAAUGAUCCCAAACGCCUCUUGGGAUUCUUCAACUGGACCAGUACUCAACUGGGUAUCCCCCCAAAUUUGCAUUCUUUUUCUUAUUUAGCAAUGAUGUUGUGUAAUUCAAGGCUUUUUGGUGCUGCCUCCGGUGUGAUAGAUAGAAUGAUUGCUACUAGGAGAUCCAGUUAUCAGAUUUUGGAGUCCUUUCUCAUGUGUUAUAGGGAACGUAAUGUUAGUGGUGGUGUUGUUUUUGAAAUGCUGAUUGAUGGUUAUAGAAAGAUUGGAUUUUUAGAUGAUGCUGCUAUUGUGUUUUUUGGUGUUGUUAAAGAUGGUGGGUCAGUGCCUGGCUUGUUGUGUUGUAAUUCUAUCUUGAACGAUUUGUUGAGGGCUAAUAAACUGAAGUUGUUUUGGAAGGUGUAUGAUGUGAUGCUAGAGGCUAAGGUGACUCCUGAUGUAUAUACUUAUACUAGUUUGAUUAAUGCUCAUUUUAGGGCUGGCAAUGUCAAGGCGGCUCAAAGGGUUCUUUUUGAAAUGGAGGAGAAGGGCUGUUGUCCUAGUUUGGUUACGUAUAAUGUGGUCAUUGGGGGAUUAUGUAGAGUUGGGGCUAUUGAUGAAGCUUUUGAGCUAAAGGAGUCUAUGAUUCAUAAGGGACUGGUUCCGGAUUGCUUUACUUACAGUUUAAUGGUUGACGGGUUUUGUAAAAACAAGAGAUUGGAAGAUGCAAAAUUAUUGUUGAAAAAGAUGUAUGAUUUGAAGUUAAAUCCAAAUGAGGUGGUGUAUACUACUUUGAUUAAUGGGUUCAUGAAGCAAGGCAAUUUGCAAGAGGCUUUUAGACUCAAGAAUGAGAUGGUUACUUUUGGCAUUAAAUUAAAUCUUUUCACUUACAAUGCCCUUAUUGGUGGGAUUUGUAAGGCUGGAGAGAUUGAAAAAGCAAAAGGUCUAAUGACUGAGAUGCUUAGAUUGGGCAUAAAUCCUGAUACACAAACUUAUAAUUCUUUGAUUGAAGGGUGCUAUCGAGAGAAUAACAUGGCUAAAGCUUAUGAACUACUUGUUGACAUGAAGAAAAGGAACUUGUCACCGACUGCAUAUACCUGUAAUGUGAUAAUUAAUGGCCUAUGUCGUUGUAGUGAUCUGGAAGGGGCUUGUAGAGUUUUUGAGGAGAUGAUUGCCUGUGGUUUGAAACCAAAUAAUUUCGUCUACACAACCCUUGUCCAAGCUCAUCUUCGACAAAAUAGAUUUGAAGAAGCAAUUAAUAUUUUAAAGGGAAUGACAGGUAAAGGUGUUUUGCCAGAUGUGUUCUGCUACAAUUCUCUUAUAUCUGGCCUUUGCAAGGCCAAAAAGAUGGAAGAUGCCAGGAAUUGCUUAGUUGAAAUGACUGUGAAUGGAUUAAAGCCUAAUUUGUAUACCUAUGGCGCUUUCAUUCGUGAAUAUACAAAGACAGGCAACAUGCAGGCUGCAGACAGAUAUUUCCAAGAGAUGCUUAAUUGUGGUAUAGCUCCAAAUGAUAUCAUUUAUACGACCCUAAUUGAUGGACACUGCAAAGAGGGUAAUGUAAAGGAAGCCUUUUCAACAUUUAGAUGUAUGCUUGGACGAGGAAUACUCCCAGAUUUGAAGACUUAUAGUGUCUUGAUUCAUGGUCUCUCAAGGUGUGGAAAAAUUCAUGAAGCGUUGGAGGUAUUCUCUGAGCUCCAAGACAAAGGUUUGGUGCCUGAUGUCAUUACUUAUAGUUCUCUUAUUUCUGGUUUUUGUAAGCAAGGUUUUAUAAAGGAGGCUUUCCAACUUCAUGAAAAGAUGUGUGAGAGCGGUAUUACUCCAAAUAUUGUUACUUAUAAUGCCUUGAUCGAUGGCUUGUGCAAGUCAGGUGAGCUUGAGAGAGCUCGGGAGCUAUUUGAUGGAAUCUUUGCAAAGGGUUUGACUCCUACGGUAGUGACUUAUACUACAAUUAUUGAUGGAUACUGCAAAUCUGGAAAUUUAACUGAGGCAUUUCAGUUAGUGAAUGAGAUGCCAUCUAGGGGAGUUACACCUGAUAAUUUCGUUUACUGUACCCUUGUUGAUGGAUGCUGCAGAGAUGGAAAUAUGGAGAAGGCUCUAUCCUUGUUUUUGGAAAUGGUGCAGAAGGGCUUAGCUUCGACUUCUUCUUUCAAUGCUUUGCUUAAUGGCUUAUGUAAGUCACAGAAAAUAUUUGAAGCUAACAAGCUGUUGGAAGACAUGGCUGAUAAGCACAUCACACCAAAUCAUGUGACUUACACAAUUCUGAUUGAUUAUCACUGCAAGGCAGGAACCAUGAAGGAUGCAGAACACCUCUUAGUCGAGAUGCAAAAAAGGGUUUUAAAACCGAAUUUUAGAACGUAUACUUCACUUUUACAUGGUUAUGCUGGGAUAGGAAAAAGAUCUGAGAUGUUUGCACUUUUCGAUGAGAUGGUGGAAAGAGGGGUUGAGCCUGAUGGAGUAAUCUACAGCAUGAUGGUUGAUGCUUACUUGAAAGAAGGUAAUAUGAUGAAAACUAUUAAGCUAGUAGAUGAAAUGUUUCUCAGGGGUCUGGUUUUAAACCAAAAUGUGUACACUUCACUUGCAAAUUCCCUAUGCAAAGAGGAAGAAUUUUAUAAAGUGUUGAAGUUACUUGAUGAAAUGGGAGACAAAGAAAUUAAGCUCAGUCAUGCUACAUGUUGCAUUCUAAUCUCUAGUGUUUAUGAAGCAGGAAAUAUCGAUAAAGCAACUAGAUUUCUGGAGAGUAUGAUUAAGUUUGGAUGGGUGGCAGACUCCACUGUUAUGAUGGAUUUAGUUAAACAAGACCAAAAUGAUGCAAACUCUGAGAACGCUAGUAAUUCCUGGAAGGAAGCAGCAGCAAUAGGAAUCUCUGAUCAGGUGUAAUCCAACCUGCUGGAAGAGAGAGCUAUUAUUUCCACCUGUCCUAACAUUUUCUUUACUUUGUCAAAUGGAAUACAGUUGCUGACUCUAUCAAGUACUGCAAACUCUCUAUAUUGGCCUUUGGUUUAGCAAAAUGUGGUGGCAAUCAAUUAUGAAUCAAGUACAUUGGGCAGUACUCACUGCUCGAUGACUCUUCCUUGGGCAGUUCCGGUCAAAGGGUGAGUAAGCUACGUUGUCUGGCUUUGUCACUGGUUGCCCUUCCUUAUCUGUGUUGCACCAAGUUCAAGGAGGAAGUUUGGCCUGUGGCUUUUCCAGGAUCUUUCUUUUCUAGUGAUUCCAGCUCCCAUGCCAAAGAUUCAAUGCCCAAAACUGCCCUCUGAAGCCCUUCUGGCCAGGAUAUUCUGAAUCCAACUGUUUAAUGCCUUGUCAGAUUUUUAUUCUGGACAACAGAGUGAAAAGUUUCAAUCAGAAGCUCAUGCUUUUCACUCAGAAGUUCGUGAAAAGCUUCAUUAAGAAGUUCAUUGAUUAAUUGCCAAGGAAGCUCGCUCUAAACUAAUCAAGGCCGAUAUUUCUUAUAGGAACUAGGCACUUUUCCUUUUGUGUUGAAAAUACUCUAUGCCGUUAUGUCCAGAUCUUUACCCUUACUACAUUUUCCUUUUCUUGGAUGUUCAGUUUAAAGAAAUCUUAUGUUCUUUCUCAAAUAAUACUGCAGGGAACCACAUUAGUAAUUUUGUGGGUUGACUGCAUCUUCCCGGACUAUAUUUUAAAGAUUAUUAGUUAUUGAAGUAAUCGUUAAUCUAUCAUGAUUGUGAUAUCUUGAGAUAGUAUUGUAGAAAGCAUUGUAGUUGUCUUAAUGAGAUUGAAGAUGCUGUAAAUGAGCAUUAAAUAAAACAUACUGCAUUUAUCUGUAUUUAUUAUAUUUUUAAGUAUUUUGUUGCCUUAUUGUAACAUACAUCUAAUUAAUUUUAUCGUUUUUCAGUGUUGCUUUUUUUCUUUCCUUUUUUCUUUUUACGUAGUUUAUUUUAAGUAUGAUAGUCGUUGUAACUAAUUAAUUAGAAAUUUAGAAUUAAAAGAGAUGCGGCUGAAUAAGAAAGACAUGAGGCUCUAUAAUGAAUAAACAUUUCUCUGCUGUAAGAGACUGAAGAUUUAAUAAUGAGAAUUGAUUUUUGUUGCGUUAUGAGAGCAGCAACUUGCAACUUGCAACUUGCAUCUAAUUAAUUUCAUCUGUUUUAGUGUUACUUUUAAUAAUGAGGGAGCACUGCCAGACGGUAAAAUUAAACGUUGCCAUUUUACAGUCGUGCUCAUUAGAUGAGCCAGAUUCUAGAACAGUAGAACUAGUAAACACAGAUAAAAUAUUCUGGGUUCCGGCUUUUCGUCGGAGCAGCCACCAUAACCCAAAAGUCUAUUGAACAAACAAUACGAGAUGAACCCAAUUUUUACUCCUGGGCUGGCCAGUGGCCACCGGGGAACCACUGCAAUUACACAGAUUUAGGUGUAACAAAAAUUUACCUGUACAUAUUUUCGUGUUCCAAACUUUAGCUUUACAUAUUUUCGUGUUUCAACAUCAUGAUCCACCAGAAGGUUUUCAAGACUUGAAGAAAGAACAGAUGAUACGUAUAGACAUAUGAAUAUACUUUUCUAGGAAAUAAUUGAUGACGAUCAGCCAUUGAAACGGGAUGACUUCUGCUUUCAACUUCCGAGUGCUCGAUUUACAUAUUUGACUGGUGCAGUUGGUUUGAUCUCCCUAUCAUGUGAUAUUGUAUGUCUUGGGUACUGGGACCUAAAUCCUAACAAAAGAUUAUGAGAUUUAUCCUGGAGGCUGAAAAAAAAACCUACAAAGGAGCCUCGUUGAACAUAACCCUCUUAUUGUCUUCAAUCCGAAUGACAAAAUUACAAAUAUUUCCUGGAAGCCAGUAUGACUACUUUGUCUCCCCAUUUUUCAUUGGAAUCUCCUUUUUUUUCCCCCUAUCUUAAUGCGUCAUCCAUUUGUGCUAGUUAAGAGAGUGACAAUCUCAUUGUCACGGAGGUCAGAUUUUGAUAUGAGCUUAUCUGCAGUAUUACCAUCUUCAUCUAUGGCAUGUGGAUCAGCUCCCCUGCAAAAAGGGGAGAUAAAUGAUAAAACAGAUAAUUAUGGUACUAACAGCUUCAACGAGCUGUGCUAUAACUUAACUAAUACAAUAAAGUGAUUUGAACACAAAUCCACUUGAUCAACCAUUAAGAGACAGAGACACCAUUCAUUUCAAAGCUUAACUUAUCAAAAGGUUCAGUGAGGGUAGCUAAACUCUAAUGGUCAUGAAAGAUAAUUGAUGCUCUCAACAUUAUUGGUUGAACAACCAAUUAAUGUGGGCGCAUAUGAGCAUAUUGGCUACUCAGUAGAACUAACAGCCACAAUAGUCUCUUACAUUUUCUUUGAAAGAAAUCCUACUAAAAAGCUGGAAGAAUUAGAUAAAAAGUCAGAAGAAACAGAAUUUGAGAAAAAGAAAUGUCAGCUAAUUCUGAAUGUCAAACAUAAGGUUAUGGAGAAGCCCAUUUGAAGGUGACACCAACAGCAAAUUUACCAUUGAUAGGCAGAGACGGAGCUGGAAAUAUAGUUUACAGGGGGGCAAGUUCAGAAUGAAUUCAAUAUAAUGGUUCACAACUUCAACUCCUGGGAGCAUUUCAAUUAAGUUCAUGAAGACAGGAGCUAAAUUCUUCAAGUCAUGGGGGCAUUUCAAUUAAGUUUACAAGAGCAGGGGCUUAAAUAAUGGAUGCAAUGUACGAUCUUAUAAUCAACUGGGGGCAGCUGCCCCCACUUGUGUAUGCUAGCUCCGUCCUUGUUGAUAGCAAUGGGAAGGACCAAAAUUUGGUCAGAACAGAGAGCCCAAUCGGAGUCCUUGAGAAAUCAUUUCUCAAGGUUAUGACGACUUUUUUCCCAACACAAUACUUAGGUUGGCAGGGGAUUUGGUUUCUUGACCGCAUAGGAUUUCUUUAUGCCACUAUCCUUAUAUUUGAAGUACAGUGGUUGAUUAAUCAUCUUGAGAGGCUGAAACCUCUUUUUUCAUAAAUUAAUCAUCAUCAAGGGGCUGAAACUUUAUUAUUAUUAUUUUUUUUUGGAACUGAAAAUGCAGAUUGAGGGUUAUGCAGCCCUCUACCCGAUAACAAUUCUGUUAACCAGUCAUAGGAAAUAUGGUACAAGUUAGACUAGUGACUCCUUGGGUAUCUUGUAAUUUCUUUCAGAUCCUCUGUUUCAUGUUUUCCUCCAAGUUUAUAUAUGAUACUUGGGCUCUCGGGGGAGGAUGGGAGGGGAGAGGGUGUGUGAUGGGGGUUCCGUGUAAAAAGCUCUAACUGCUACAUUGUCUUGGGUGUUCAUUGUGUUGUGUAUUUCCUUGCUACUUGAAAAAUCUUCUGCACUUUGUGAAGCUAGGAAAGUCUCAAUUUGAUGGAAUUAUAGGAUAGCAGCAGUUUUGUGGAUAAUUUGGUUGGAUAAAAUCAAGAGGUGUUUUCAGUAGUCUUGAGAAAAAGAUGUCAAAUACUUUUGGGACUAAACUGAUUUUCUUGCAUUCUUAUGGGCACCAAAGGCAUCAAAGCUUCUACCUUCUGACAUUCAUUUGUUUCUCACUCACCAUAAUUUGGAGGUAGGAGUCAAAUGAUUCUUGUUUUGAAGAGCUUACUUCUUAUGGCUGUCUUUAGCAGAUGUCCAUACUCAGACUUGUGUGUACCUCUGGUUCAUUUAAAUUAUGAAGUUUUGCCUCUUUACUAAAAUGUUCUGUUUCUCAUCCCCAAUGACCCAAAAAAGAAAAGGGAAAAAAAAAAAUUCCUGAUUGGAGACUUAACAAAAGGGCAUGAAGAAAAUGAAGAAUUACCUUGCAAGUAGCAGUUUCGCAAUUGCGGGUUUCCUGCUGAUAAUACAAUGAUGCAGCGGCGUUCUACCUCUUGAAUCAGAAACAUUUAUUUUUGCACCAUACUGUAGGAGAAGCUCCACCAUGCCAAUGUCAGCAUUUAAACAUGCAAGGUGAAGCAGUGAACAGCCAUCAGAAGCCUCUUCUAUGAGCUCAUCUCCACUUCUAUGCAUUGAGUUCAAAUAGCUCAAAGGAUCAUCCAAAGUGUCACCAUCAAAGCAAUCAAUUUUUUUAUCAUCCCUUUCAUGCUCUUCCAUUUCCAUCACAGUGGCCAAAGGCAAGCGUUUACCAUAUGAAGCUUGCCCAUGGAUGGCAUUGACAUUUGGUUCAGAGCAGAUUAUAUGGCAGUAAACUGCUUUCUUGUCAUUAUCACGGACACUUUCCCACAACUGCUGUGCCACUGAAAGAAGGUGGUGAUGGUCCUUUCUCUUAUGAACAAAAAUUUUCUCAGCAUACUGCAUGUAGAGAAAACCAUCAACUCUCGGUCCCAAAUGAUAUACUUUUACCAUAGAGAUGCAUGUAAACCACAAAACUUAUCACACUGUAAAAGGAGGUCGGGUGAAUGUAGAAACUUGAUAACUUUAAACAAACAGCUGAAAACUUGGUGGAGAGACUGAUACAUGUCAGUGGAAAAUGCAAGUAAACUAGUCAUUGGAUUUAAUAGCUAAGUCAAAAAACAAGGAGGAAAUGAUCAAUAUCAAGAACCGCGAGAAGAGCACAUUAAACUAAGAAUCCAUGAUGCUCGUUCCUCUUGGGUUGGGACACACCGGACUGACCGGAGUUAGGUAGGGGCUCGGUUUAUAUUUAUAUAAUAUUAAAAAAAAAAAAAGCAGAGCAGAGGUAUCCAUAAAAGGACAGCCAACUGGUCAUGAGGUGAUGGGGAAUCUAUGGUUAUUUUUAGAAGUGACAAGAGGGUAUACUUGUAAGUAUAAAAAUGUGUUGCCAAUUAUUCAACUACCAACUAAGAGAAGAGGUGGGUGGAAGAAAAAAUGGAAGAAAGAAGCUACCAAAAUCAAGCACAGAAAGCAGAGCAAGAAGAAUCAAACUAGCUCACAAGGUUUCAUAUUUUGAUUAACCAAAUUAAUGUCAUAUCUUUUUUAAAAUUUUUAAGAUUCUUUUUCUCAUUAAAUAAAAAACUGAAGAAAUUACAUGUGAUUAAAAAUCAAAAUCACCAAGCAGUUGGUUGGAUAAGAAUAUUCAAUGGGUAAUAUAACAAUGCUUAUAAUUGAAUACAACAAAUAGAGUUCUCUUAACUUCAGAAGCUGGUUCAGGCAAACAAUAUUCAUAAGCUAUAAGCCGUUGUGAGAGAAAGAGGAAAUGAGAAGGGAGAAAUUGAGUUCUUUGUAGUGUUACCUUUGCAUGAAUAUACUGCUCUUUUACUGAAAUGGAAUCAUCAGGAUUGGGUUUUCUCACAAUAAACCGUUUCUGUUUGUCAGUCCUCGAAAAGCUAAACCACAGAACUAACAACUUAUUAGAACAGAAACAAACUUCGCAAUCAGAUCAAGGUAUCCAUCACUUACCCCAUAUGCCUCUCAUCAGUUAAGGAAUUAUUUCCAAUACGCAACAACUCCUCCCAGACUGAGUUUGCAUAGAUAUUUCCCAGUGACUGAAACAAAUUUAGGACAGAUGGUUCCCACACUUUAACAUCAAGUGUCAGUGAUCUCACCUGCAUUGAAGUUUAUCAAGGAGAGCUGCAUUAAUAAAAAAUAAAAAUGGAAGGAGACUUUCAAUUAGGUUUAAGCCUCACAAUUUAAACGUCCUAUGCAAUCCAUGUGGUUUUCCUCAUGACCUAUGCAAUCCAUGUGGUUUUCCUCAGGAAACAUUUAAAUGAAAAUUACCAAUCCCUGAACAUGAAAAGAGGUGAGGUCCCCUAAAGAAACCUUCAUGACUUACUUUUGAUAUAUGAACUCCAAGAUUACGAUGAACACCAGAGCAUUGAAUACAUAUAAGAACACCGAGGUUUAGGGAUGCCCAAUCUGGUUCAGAUGCACCACAAUCAGCACACUUGUUAUUCCCGUAUACUCUUCUUAACAAAUCAAUUGGCUUCUCAUUCUUAACAAUAUAUUCCAGGUCACCCAAACUUUUUGAUGAAUGCAAAUGAUCUCCACCGGUAAUGUUUUUAGAUGCAUGUUCCUCAAUUGUUGUCUGAUCAACAUAAGGGGAAUCCACCAAGAGGCCACUUUCACGGAUGAAGCAACGAUCAAAGCUUUCUUUAGGACCAGAAGAAAGACACUGACGUAUAAUAGAAUUGUGAUAAUUCAGAUAAUUUAGAGAUAUCAAUGACUACAUAUAAUGAUAACAUGCUUAACAUUUACCCUCUCAGGUGUUUGGAAACUUAGUAGGGAAGCAAUUACUCCAUUUAUUUUUUCGAUCCAGUCCAUUUGGUCCAGAGUAUUCUCUGCCUACAUUACGAAGGAAACACAAAUAAGAUCUGCUGAUUAAUAUUGACAUAUUCCUAUGAUCCAGUAAGUAUUUGCAAAAACAAUUACCCUCAACUUUGGAUUCCAGGUUCCAUAAUGAAUUCACAAGUUUUAUGCACAUGUUGGAUGUUGAACGGAUACCUGCAAAGUAUAUACUUUUGUUGGAGAGAUGAUCCUGAAACAGAAUCUUAAAUCUGACUGAUCAGCAUCGGGCUUAAUUGUGGAGGUCAAAAGAUUCACAGUGUGACGUGCAACAGAUUUUUCAUCAUGUACACCACCGUGGUAAUGGGAAGAAAGCCAUCGACUCAGCAACCCCUGACUAGUUUCAGAGGGAUUACUUCUCUGUAUAGCAGACUGACUCCCAGCUGCCUGAAAUUGCAUACUCACAUUUAACAUGGAAGGGGAGACUUGAAGAGAAGGAUUGUCCAGUUAAUUAAAUUACAAGUAAUCUUCCAGCCAACAACUCACUGAAUUCCAGCUCCAAGGUUUACGGUAAUAGUACAACAGCCCUCGACUAUCAAGUACAAAAAAUCUUCUUUUCCAGUCAGCUCUCAAAUUUGAUGAUCGUUUUGAGAGAUACCCUUGUUUAAUGGUUUGAACCUGAAAAUUUGUAGCAUUGGCUUAAAGAUGUAAAGGUUGAAACAACUGCAGUUGAGUCUAAAAAAUCGAAAAUCAAAUCAGAAAAUACCUUUCCUUUCACAGCAGAUUGCAUAGCUGCCUCUAUCAAUUUAUUUGAAUUCCUUGGAAAAGGUUUUACAUCGUCUCCACUAGGAGAACCAAGAGAACCAUUUAAACAUUGCUUACUUUCUCGAUCAAUCUGCUUAAGAUAGUCCUGCAUCCUUUGAUGAAGAGAUGCCUGCUCAUAGUCAGAACAUUCUCUUGAUUGCUGUGCAUAAGCCAGAACCUGAAAACCCAACAGCCAAAAAUUUAACACUGACCAAUUUAAAAGAAAAAAUAUAUAUUUUUACAACGAAAAAGGGGGAAUUGAAGACAACUUUGUUGCUAGCAGCCAACAGUGAGACAAUGUGCCACUCGGCGCAGACAUUCAAGGGAACAGGAGAUCAGCAGAAAGUGCUGGGCUUAUUGCAGUGUCUGGCUAACUGAGAGUUACAGUCAUAACCAAAGAAAGUAACAAGAAUUGAGUGCCUGCAGGCUAUUUAUUAACAAUUAUAGGGCUAUCUUUCCAUUCGUUCAGUUUGGCUAGAAAAUUUCCUAUCCAUAGAAAGGAUUGCUAGAACUGCACGGGAUGUUGAUGUUGAGAAGGUAUUAGACCAAAAUGGUACCAAUUUGAUAGUCCAAAUAUAUUCAACCAGUGAAUGAAAGUUUAUGAUUUCAUUAUCCAAAGGGCUUUAGAGAUGAUUCCCUUCAUAUUUAUAGGUACUGACGAUAAAGUCCUUGUGGAUUUGUCAGACCUGGUUAAUUAAGUAAAAAAGAAAGCAUUUCACACCAUCUCAGAGAAAACAAAACUAGAGAAUCAGACCUGGUUAAUAAAUGGCUCCAUCUGAUGUAGCAGCUCAUAUCCCUGAGAGGAACAAAGUUUCAGAAGCUACGCAAGUAUAUUAUUUCUUAUGGGAAGAGGAGGCUGACUUUUGAGCUCAUAAUCAUAUUGUACCUGUUUGAAGAAUCGAAGGUGAGCAUCCAUUGUCCCACCAACAGCCUCCAACAACUCAAACCUCUUUUUCGCUUCAACAUUAGAGAGAGCACCAACCUGAAUAUGGAAAAGCAUGCAAUAUAUAAGAGUUGCCUACCCUAGACGACAUAGUUACUUAGUUGCACCGAGUUUCCUUGUUAAAAUAAAUGUACCAGAUUGAAGCGAGCUUGCUCAAAUGAGGUUCUUGCAUUGUGAAGAUCCUGGAAUCUCAACCAAAUUAGAAUUUUAAAAACGUACCUGUGUAAACUACCAAUUAGCUAAUCAAUCUAUCCAUUAGAACAAACAUAAGUUAUGUUUUAAAUAGUUGAUAUACGUCCUCUAUGACAACAGCUACAUCCAUCCUUGUGCUCUUCCUCAAUGAAAGAAACUUCUCACGUGCCUGCAAUACAAAAUUACCAUCACCAUUGAAUGCCACUGUAAAGAAGAUACUGGCCAUAUAGCACCAACAUGACACAUUUCUCCAUACAAGUUAGCCACAAGUUCAUUGUAAAACUAUUCCAAUUUUCUGAAACGAACCUCAAGAUGCUCAUAUUACUCGAGAUGAUUUUAUAGUAAAAUUAGGACUAUCUUAAAGAUCCCUUUCUCGAUUUCACAGAACCUAGUAUAAGAAUCCAAAUAUUGAACAUAUUAUCAGGUAGAUUUAGAAACUUUUCUAUAUUGAACAUAUUAUCAGGUAGAUUUAGAAACUUUUCUUCCAAUUCCAUUGUUCUUCUUAUUUUGGUUUGCAAUCAAGAGUUUGAAGACAAAUGUGUCAAUAUGUGCAUGGUACAUUUAUUAAAUUAAAAAAAUAUUCAGGGGAACCCAUAGAUAUUUUAACUAGAUUCUAAACUAUCCAAAUAAUUUAUUGAACCAUUGAGAUAUUUGAACAAACUUAAAAGGAACAUACAUAUACACAAACAUAUUAUAUAUGUAUCAACCUAUGAAAUUUCAAGAAAGUCAUGACUAUAAAUCAAAGUGCAAUCACCAAGGAUAGAAGGCAUGUUGAUGCUAGCGAGAAUCUAUAUCUAUCAGCAAUGCAAAAAUAUAUGAAAAGUUCUGGAGAAAGUGAGCAAGCAUGAAUACAGAAGAGUACUCAAACAAGUAAUAAGUUCUCAAAUUAUCAACUCUUGUGAUUUGGAAUCCACCUGAUCAUAUAUAAGGGAAGCCUUGUCAAAACGUUUUCGGGCCUCCUGCACCAAUUUGAGAGUACUGAAAAAUGAAUCUCUUUGGAAACACAACCGGAAAAUAGAACUCAUAAAAAGAUAAGAACAAAUCAAAGAAGGAGCUAAUUAUAAUUCGAAAUGGUUAAUGUUAAAAAUAAAUCUAAAAAGAUUAUAACUCUAGGUACCGUGUAAUAGAGGACUUAAACUGGAGAAUAGAAACAGACCAACUUCACAGUUUGUUAUCUUGAAAUAAAAAUCUUCGUAAUUACAACUUUUUUAACAUUGUAUUACAAAGGCAAUGAAGCAAAGGGCAAGUUUAAAGUCUGUGGAUGUGCAAUACAGAUAGAAACUCUGUGUUUUUUUUUUUUUUUUUUUUUUUGGGGUGGCGAAAUCUUAUAAUCAUAUAGAUCCUAUACUACUUAUAAAAUCUGAUCAGUAUUCUAUUGCAUAGAUCUGCAAUCUUAAGGGAUUCUUUUUUGUCAACACCUUGUUCACUUUUGUACAUGUAUUUUUUUCUUAAUAGAAGUUUCUUUGUUUCCUAAAUGAAAUAAAAACGAAAAAGAAAUGAGAAAAUCAGACAACACAUAAGUUACUACUACCAUAUGUAUAAACAUACCUAUUUUUUUAGAUGCAAUGUGUAUGCACAAAAAUAUACAAAUUUUCUCUUACAAAAAGAUGAAGGCAUGGAAACAGAAAAGAUAUUGGGUAAGGAAUUAAGUUUUAUGUCAGACAAUGAAAAGCUCGAGGAUGCAAUUUAUUUUGGCCAUCCCACAAAAGUGUUGAUAAAAUGCAUCAUUAUUGUUCUUCAUGUGGUGCUAAAUUGUGUGAUCUUAAAAUGAAUGAAGACUACAUGUUGUUUCUUAUCAAUCUCUUUAGUGACCAAUAGGAUGACCAACAGGAUUGUCCCAAAAAAUAAAAAAUAAAAAUCCCAUUCAUUAUCUGUUUCUUAGGAAGAUGCAUUGAUCUAUUUUUUCAAGUCUAUGACCUCAAGCAGCGGAUUGAUCAUACAAAGUUAGACACUGAGAUGAUAUAGAGUUGAAAAUUCAAUUAAAACACCGUGUUCAUGGGAUUAAUCAUGAUAUCAUAAGAUACUUUAAGCCCCGUCAAGCUUAGGCCUCUGUCUUAAGGAUGGAACUCAGUAUGCAAGAGAAGGGAUCACCUUCAUGCAUGUGCACAAUCUAGAAUGUGGAAAUAUAAUGUCCAUCACAUUAACACUGUAUGCAGCACUCAGGUUCUUUAGGACAAUGUCUUAACAAUUUCAUAAAUGAACUUCAGCAAGUUCUGAAAGCUUUAUAGAAAAUCAGUGAAAUGAAAAUUAUUAUCUUUAUCACAAAAGAGACGGCCUAUAACUUUCCAACCAAUCUGAGUAAUAAAGUGAAAACUUAAGAACAAAACCAGGUGGGCUUGGUCUAAAAUGAGCUAAACGUAUUCCAUGGAAACGAAUCUUACGAUUGGAAUCAAAGUUGGACUUAACUGUGGUGUCCAUCCAAUCUCAUGGCCUUGAUAACUCUUUAAUUCAAUAAUUAUUCAUGAUGUAACUGAAAACUAAAAAUAAGGUGUUAAUUAUAUUUGCCAAAGACCCAACUCAAAUAAGAUUAUCAAAUUUACCACUAUUUAUCCCACUCAUACAAGUAAAAUAAAAUCUAAUCCAGCUUAAAUAAGGAAAAAAAAAUAUCACCUUAAUAAAUUCUAAUUUCAACAGAGGUUGUCCUAUAUCAGAAAAAUGCAAGAAUAAAACUAUGUGGGUUUAUCCUGAAACAACAAUAUCAUAUUGUGCAUAACCCAUAUAAUUAUAAACAUAAAACUUUCAAACUUGCAUUCUUCAUAUCUUUUUUCCCCCCACCAUCUACUAUUCAAUGUACAAAACAAGCACAAAUCUCAGCAUGCUUUCACCCCUAGAUUUUGGGAGUUGUUGUGUCUCCCACAACAUGUCCUAAUCAAAACUGGACACAUGUUUAUGUCCACAGAGCAGUGAUACACAAAAUAGAUUCUGACUUCCAAAACUACGAAGAACAGAAACUUGCAUAAGGUGUACAAAAUACCUUAACAUCCUGCAGAUCAACAUUGACAAAAUGCAGUAACCUUUCAUUCAGCAUAUCCUCUACCUGAGAAAGCCAAUCACAGGAUGUCAGCAGAGGAAAUCAAUCAAGUUCCCCAUGUCUCCUAAAUCUUUCACUGGAAUAGUAAAGCUCAAAUCUAGCAAGCUACAAAUUAACUGAUGACCCACAAUUUUAACCAGGAGCAUGUGAUGGCCUCUCUAUUACAGCAGGAAAUUCCAAACAUUUCAUUGAAAUGCUUUGAAAGUAUCAGACAGCGAAAAAAAAAAUUCAUUGUUUUCUUUAAUGAUUAUUGGCAGGAGAGAAACAAGAAAAACAUACAUGAUAACUAACUAAAUAAAGACCAAGGACUGGGAAAAACCAGGUUACAUCAAGAGGCAAUCCUGUAUUUGAUGAUCCCUUUUUUUCACAGAAAUUUACUUCUAAUUUGAGCUUCAUGCAUUUAAGAGAAACUAGAAACUUACAAGAAGGAAAAAUACCAAGGGUUGUUAGAAGCAUUUUUAACUCAAUUAAUGAUGGCCACAAUGCAAGAAUGCAAGUUAAUCAGUAAUGUUUGCCUUCUCUGGAAACUAACUAAAGAGGGUCAUUAUUUAUUUCUUGUAAAAUUGCUCCAUUCAUUCAGAAUUUAAGGGACAAAAACAGCUGAAAAUUUGUAAAUUCAGAUUUCAGUCUAUUUCAGUUGACAAUUGUCUAAUAUAGUCUGGAUUCUAGCAUGAGUUUGGGUUUAACAAGCCGUUGAAGCGCAGACUAACUUAAUUUGGAACUCGUUUAGUACGAAUCAGCUAUGUACAAAUAGAAGUCCAAAUAGCCCUUUGCAGUGAUUUUUCUUUUUUCAAACAACAGCAGUCGCAUUAUAAAAGGGACAGGACCUUCAAUUAUCAGGAUGACAUGUCAUAACAAAUUUUUGCAGUCUUACAGGAGCACCAGAAACAAGAAACCGUCGCAUGCAUAUUAGAACGAUAAGAGCACAAGAUUUUCUACCUUUGAUCGAAGAACUUCUUUGUAUGUACCGAUUUCUCUCAAAGCAAUUGUGAAUUUGGUCAUGACAGGGCCUGCAGACACAUUAAGUUUCUCAGUAGUAACAGAACUAAACAUAUUGAGCUACUUGUUAAGCUCCUUUAAAACAUUUUGAAUGAAAACAAAGGCCACAUGGAACGAAAGUUCCAGUUGAAGCAACAACAUUACUGUAUAAGUUCGGCCCAGAAAAAAAAGAUGUGUCAGAUAGAAGUGCAAUCAAGCAGCUGUAGUUAGCUUGUUAAAAGCUCUUUCAGGCCCAUCCAAUGGUCUAAACAAACAAAAUCCUCACUCCAAGCUCAGUUGCUUGCAGAGAAAAUUUCAGGCAACACAGAGCUUGAAUAAGGUGGGCUCAGUUGUGCUAUACUUUUAAACAAGUUUUUGACGCAAUGAUUUUGUACAACUCAAGAACAAAAACACAUACCAAUUAAUUCAAACACAUUCUCAAAGCUAAACCUACGCAUACAUGCCAAAAGAGGAAAUUUUUCAUAACAUAUCCUGGGGGCAGAAAUAGGAAUACAUACCACCAAGAGCAACACAAAUAGGAUCAUUAUGGCCACCACCGAAACUUUCAAGAGCACUUACAAAAGCAAUAUCGCCAUCGUACCCCUCUCCAAGCCCUUCUCUGAUAUUUAUAGAUGACUGUGUAAGAACAUCGAUGAACAUAAAAACUUAUAGAAAAAAAUAAUAUGAUGGUCGAGAAAGUAAUCUGGCCAUAACAUUUCUGCAAUUGGCACUUUUGGAAAUAACAUUGUAUUGCAUCUGAUACCAGUAAGCUUUCAUCAACAAACGUUUUCCAGACCAAAUAUAAGGAAUUUUUACAAUCCAAUAGCCUUUUGAUCCUGAUUUUAGAAAUCCCCAGAGUGCUCUGGCCUAAGGAGGCAGAGAUGCCAUGAAUUCCAGCUUCCAGGAAGCCACUCAACAAUUUUAAGAGUUAGAAGCAGUCAGGAACCUUCUACUCCAGUGAGUAAUUGUCUGCAGUGAAAUUUCAUUUGACCGCACAGAUAUAAAAUUUCAAUUGAGAGAGACAUUUUCCAAUGGUGUAAUUUUUAUAGGAGGAUGGAAGUCAUUUUCUGGCUAAAGCAGAUUAUGGUUCUCUUCUUGUUUCCAAUGUAGCAUUUUCUGUCCACAAAUCAGUACUUCGAAUGAUUCUGAUGACUGAUAAUUUAACCAAUAAAAGUUGUUUCAUCCUAGUAGCUGUUCUUUGUACACAAUUGAAGCAUAAUCAAAUUUCUCGUAAUUUAUGUAAUUUUCUCUUCUCCCUCUCCAAGUUUUUUGAUCCGUUCAUGGUAUUCAAACCGUUGAGUGGCCGAAGCUUAAAAAAGAAGAAGCUAGCAGGUUGUUGAUGAGGACUGCUGCCCCCUCAUUGCAAACUUUGUUGCAUUUAGAAUGAAAAAGAGAAAAAGGUUGCUCAGGGAAUGUAAACUAUAAACAUGAGGCCAUAGAAGAUAUUACGAGUCUCGAUUUUUCAGCUAGGGAUCAUUAGUCUCCCAGAACAAAUACACAAUCAAAUGCAUACUAAAAGCUUAAAAUACCUGCCAACUUCAAAAUUAUAGAAAGAGCGUAAUAGAGCAUUGGGAAUGUAGAGUUACGUGUACUUGCGACACCCUUUGUAAAACUUUAAACAUCUCCCUCGCAAUGCUUCAUCAGUCUCCUCCAUACAUUGUAUCUGUUCGCCAAACAGUAUAUUAUCAGGGCACUCACUCUCUAAAUAUUUUGAAGCCGAAUAUAAUACACAAGGAAAAUCCACUGUCAUUUGUAUGCAAUUUAAACAACAUAAAACUUAAACAUCUUCUCAUUAUAUAAAAUGGCAUUGUAACAAAAGCAAUUCAAAAGCUUUUCUGUCUACCCCCCCCCCCCCCCUUACAAGUUUAACACAAUAUAAAAAUCACUUGCGCAACCUAAAACGCAUCGUUUUGAAAUGCAUGAAAGUGAAGCAUUAAUCAAGUAAGAUUUUGCUUAAAACAACAGUUAAGAACAAAAUGGAAUUUGAUAACAAAAAAAAGACUACAAAAAAAGAAAAAAAAAGAAAAGAAAAAGGAACCUGUUGCCGAAACAUAGGAGAAUCGUCAAGUUUCGUGAACUGCAUUUUAGAAUCGAUACGAUGAAUUUCUCUCUUCUUCUUCUCUGAAGAUAAAAGAAAAUUAAAAGAAGAUAACAAUUAAGAAAUAUUUAUUAAUUCUUUCUUCUUUUGUUAGUGCGUUUUGUGUUUGGCUUAAAUGGCCGCAAUUGAAGGAGCUUUUUGUUUCUUAAGUGUUUGCGAAUUUUCAUGGCUGUCACUAAAUAAAUAAAAAACAAAAAACAAAAAAAAACCAAAAAAACAAAUCACCCGCCUUCCAGUUUCUCUCUCCAGUCUGUACUAGCAAAUGUAUAGUUUAUUUGUCAUUUUGGGAAAAAGAAAAAGCCGUUUUGACUGUCAAUGCAACGGUGUCGUUUUAUUUGAAAUUUGCCAAACGUGGGAGAAUCCUCGCAAUAAUUAACUACUGAUUAAUUAAAUAAUAAAUCGCUUCGAGAUUGUGGGGUCCAUGAAAAAAAAAAAAGGAAACGAACCUUAGUCGCACUUUGGCGGCAAGCGUGUGAGACACGCUCCGCAAAAGCUGCGUCCACGUAUAGUACUAAAUAUUAAAAAAAGAAAAAAAAAGGUAAAACGACACAGAUUUAUGUCUGUUUCAUGAUGCAUUACGUUUCUUCCAUUAAAGUGUUGUGGGGUUUUGUUUGGGAGAGUAAUUUUUGACACAAGGUGAGUCAACUUUGAUUCCUUUUUUUCCUACUGCAUUAUCUUAUUGAUACAAGUAGUUUUCUUUUGAUUCUAUUUCUAGCAAAUGUAAAAGCAUCAAAUGUGUGUAUAUUAUUCAAUUGCAUUGUUUCAUUACAGUCAUUAAAAAAAAAAAAAUCGAACUUUUCUUGGAAACUUGACAGAGCAAAGUUUGCUUGAUUUUCAUAGUACACGGUGGACGCAUACUAGGGUUCUUACUGGUUGUCUUGAUUAUCAUAGAUAAUUCUUAAUUCAUAGAAAAUGUUUAAUGGGGUACCUAAUUUGAGUUGGUGGCAUCUGUGAUGGUGCAGAUGCAUAAUCAUUUAAUCCAUGGAAGCUCUGAAAGUGAUGAACAUAAUUCAGUAAAUGAGUUAAGUAAUAUCGGACCCAGAGAAAUUGUUCACUGCAGUUUGCAAAUUAUUCUUAAUCUGGGAUGACCAAUCUAAAGGAAAGACUUUAAUAGGAAAUGUGCUGUAGAUGGCUUAAAAUUUUCAGUAGCUAGGAUCGCUCUUAAUUAGUUGAACCGUGUUAAGUAGAGUGGUCAAGAAUCAGGGAAGUAGUUACAAAAAAUAUAAUGUGAUAGAAGUUUACUGAAGUACGGUUGGUUCGGCAAAGAAAGAUGAAAAAUUUUGUGGUCUCAUGCAUCCUGAUGAGUGGAUACAAAUUUUGGAUGUUUCUUGAUUAAAUAUGAAUUUAUAAUGAUUUCCAUAGGUUGUUAAGUUUAUGUUCCUUCCUCAUCAAGCCUUCUUUAGGCAACAAUUAUUUUCCGAUAUGUUGAUUUCUUUGCUGGUAUGAUGUUAAUUUCUGAUCUUUUUCCUUCCCUGUGAUAUUGUUUGUUACCAUUUUUAAAAUGAUACAUGCAGUCAGUAAUGAUACGUUUGUUUGUUUUGAAGUUAAGCCCAGAAAGCAAGGCAAAUAUUCAGCUGACUUGUUUGCUAUAGAUAUCAUGUUCUGAUGUUCUAAUGAAUCAAUUAGAGACUUGAAAAAUGACGUUGAAUAACUGAGAAAUGGACGAAAAUAGAAUAAUGGCCCUGAGGGAAAUAUGGGUUGCUAAACUUAUGAUGCAUAAUGAGGAUUAUGACUUUGCUAGAGACAAGCUACUCACAGCUCAGCAGCUUUAUCCAGCACUAGAUGACAUAGACUCAAUGCUAUCUGCCUGUGACAUGCUACUCUUGGCUGCUGGUAUUAAGUUAUCAGAUUCUGAGAUUAAUAAAAGCUGGAUUUUUGAGCUCCUUAAGCCCUUACAGAAGCUUCGACCUCGUUGCAGCCUAUAAGGGAUGAUUUUCCUGGCACAGACUUGGCUCUACAAUUUCUACAUGAUGCAUUCUCCAAGCUCUCAGACCAAGAAAAGCAAUCUGAAUAUGAUUUGAAGCAUAGUUUGGGAGGUUGUACGUAUACAUGUGACAGGACUUCUUCUUGCCACAUUUUAGGCAGAUUGAUUGAACAAAGUAACUCAACAGAGGUGAAUUCCAAGAACAGUAGAAAUUUUGGACUGUUUCCAUUACGAGAUUGUGACGCAGAUGAACAAGUUGGUUUAAUUACAUAUCAAGCUAGCCAUUCAGAAAAUAAUUCAAUUUCAAACCUGAUGAUUAUCACUUUGAGAAAGUCUAACCAGGAAUUCUACAAUUUUGAGAACAACCGAAAACUGGAAAAUAUCCAAGCGGGGCAGAUCUGGGCUGCGCAUCUUCAGGCAAAUGUUAACAGAAGUUACUGUUAUGCUCUAAUUAACUAUAAUGGCAGUUAUGAACUCCAUGUCACAUGGUUGAAACCAAUACCAAUUAGACCAAGUGAGACAAGAUGGUAUUUUUCAGGCUUGCCUGUUGGAUGUGGUUCCUUUGAUCUAAAUCCAGUGGUACAUGAUUUGGAAAGUCCAAUGAUUUUUUCCCAUAAAUGCUCCCCUGUUCAUACAGGGACACAGGAUCAGUUUGAGAUUUACCCCAAAAUAGGUGAAAUUUGGGCACUUUAUGAAAAUUGGAACUGCGACGAAUGGGCCAAUGAUCCUCAAAAACUAAAAGGAUGUAAAUUUGAUUUGGUUGAAAUGCUAUCUGAUUUUUCAAAAACUUCUGGUGCACAUGUUGUGUGUUUGGAGAAGGUUGAGGCUUUCAGGAGUGUCUUUCAGAGACAAACAAUUGGACAAUAUCCUGUGAUUUAUCAGAUUCCUUCCAAUCAUUUGUAUAUCUUCUCUCACAAUAUACCAGCUUACAGGCUUUUGGGUGGAGACAAUGGCAAAGUUGGUACUGCAAUCUUUGAGCUUGACCAAUCUGCUUUGCCUGAUGAUAUGGUUCAUGGUACUUCUACUGAAAUUAUCUCAGUGGAAGAAAAAUUAGACUCCUCAUCUGGAUUCACUCCUAGCAAAUAUUUACCUUCAUUUGAGUCAAGUGCAGACAGCCAGCUUCUGAAGCACACUUGGUCCCCGGUUGACUUUGCCAUAGGUCAAGUGUGGGCUGUAUAUUGUGGAAAGGAGAACAUGCCACGACCAUACGUCCAAAUAGUCGAGGUAAUUUCAGCGUCGCAAGUAUAUGUCACAUUCUUAGAACCUCUACCAGUUUUUCAUCUGGACACUGAGUGGAAGAAGAAAAACCUACCCAUCGCUUGUGGCUUGUUUGAACUUGGCAAAACCAGUGUCAUACUGAAGAUGUCACAUUUUUCUCAUUCCAUGGAAUAUGAAAGAUCUGUAACUGAGAAUGAGCCACACUUCAUUAUUUACCCAAAAAAAGGCGAAGUUUGGGCUGUGUACGAGGAUUGGAAUGAAGAAUGGCAGCAAAAUGAUUAUAAGAAUUACCAUUAUUACAUAGUUGAAAUUCUAUCAGACUUGUUUGAUGAAACUGGGAUGACAAUAGCCAGGCUAGGCUGGUGGAGGUAGAGAAUAAUCUGACUUUCUUCCACAGACAGCAAAAUGAUGGUUUUGAUAUCACUUGUACAGUUUCACAAGCAGAGAUGUUCAGCUUCUCUCACAAGAUCCCUGCUUUUAAAGUGCAAGGAACUGCAAUUUAUGGUAUUCCUGAAGACUCUUGGCAUUUGGAUCCCAAUGCAUUACCUCUUAAGCAAGUAAUUAACUAAGUGGAUAGCAUUGCACCUCAUGUCUCAGCGGAUCUCUUAGUGUAGCAUGUCACUUAUUCAGCUGACUUAUAAGAAAUAUUGGAUACAUUAUACUAGAAGAACAUGACAUAGGUAUGAGAUUUAAGGAUGGGUUUAAAUAGUUUUGAGAAAUGUCAAAAAGAUCUUAAUGUAUCUGAAUUAGAGAACUUCUGUUAAAAUGUUACGUAUGUUGUGAAAUUCCUGGGUGAGAUUAAAAUGUUCUGUAUGUUAAGCGAUAAUAUCAAAUAACUUUUUUUCUCUGGGCUAAUGUCUUUGUUGAAGGUGUCAGUGAGAGCCAAGACGCUCCCAGUGAAAAUUGAAAUUUCAGUGACCUUUAAAUCACCCAGGAAUCAUGUUGGUAAAAGUGCACCAUAAUUUUGAUGCUUACCGUGUCAAGUGAAUAUUUAUAGUGCCGGAUGAAACAUAAUCGUAAGGCUUGUUCUUGUCUCCUUGUGAAAGUUUCAUAUGGGAAUUUAGGAGGUUGCUAUGUUACAGAAUCUGUAACAUACACACCCAAUGAGAAGAGCACACAUGUCCUGAGGAGAGAGAAAAGCCAGCAAAUGGGUGUGUAUGGGGAGUUGGUUAAAGCUGGAUCUGUAAGUUACAGAAUCCGUAACUUAGCCAGCUCCGAGAAUUUAUGGGGAAUCGUCAAGAGUUAAUAUAAUAAUGGGUGGGAAACAAUUUUCUAUGAACACCCCGUUACUCAGCACACCCUUUGCUUCGAUUUAAAAGUUAAAAUUUUACUUUCUACACCUCUUGUUAUACCAAAACUAGCCCCAUUAUAACAUGUAACUUCAAAAUAAUUCUGUGAUUUUCUAUGAACACCCACCAAAAUCAUUUAAAAUCAUCCGUGUUGGCUAAUAGUCUACAAAGCUUUCAAUUUCGUACCAAAUAAGCAUUGAUGUUAAAUCCGAACAAUUAAGCGGGGAUUGAUGUUUAAUGUUCGUGCUCAAAGUUUCUUAAUCCUGCUUUUACUGUUUUUGCAAAAAAUUGUAUCCAUUGAAAUAUUUCAUAACAAAUAUCCAUUGAGAGAGAAACAAUCAAACAAAUAUGAGAGUUGGAAAGUUAUAACAUAUAUGGUGAAGAAACUAUUAUCAUACAUACACAAUUAGGGGUGGGCAUAAACCCACAAUCCAUGGGUUUACCCAAACUCAAACUAAAUUAAAUGAUUUGAGUUGGGUAAAUUAUGAAAAUGGGUUAAAUGUGAGUUUUAUAUAGAAAACUAUUUCAUUAUGGGUUGGGUAUAGUUUACCCACGGGUCAUGGACAAGACCCUAACACUCAAAUUUUUCAAAUGAAAUAAAUGAAAACAAAAUAAAUGAACACAAAUAAGUGAAAGGCCACCAUUAAAUUUUUUACGGCGUAAUCAAUUGUCAACAGUUAGAAAAUAAAAAUAACGGUAAAAAUAAAUUUAAAUUAACAUAUAUCAUUUACCCACUUUCUGUUUUUAAAUGGCCAAAAAUCUCCCUGACAACAUAAGUUUACAAUAUUACCCUUAUUUUUAACUACUCUUUUAUUUACAUUUAUUAUAAAUUAAAUAAAUUACAUGAAUAGAAACUAAAUAAAAAAAUUAAGUAUUAAAACAAGAAAUAUAUGUUUUGAUAUGAGCAAAAAAAUUAAUAAUAAAAUUUUUUCUUGUAAUUAUUUAUUUUGUGAACAUUUUCUUAUAAUAAACAUUUUGUAAUAUUUUAAAAUUAAAUGUAAAAAGUAUAGGUAAAAUAUUUUAUUAUUUAUCUUCUAAUAAAUUUUUAUUUGUCAUUCAAGUUUUCUUAUAAUAAUUUUUUUAUCAUUUUACUAAUAAUUUUCUUAUAUAUUUAUUAUAAGAAAAUUUUCACAAAAUAAAUAAGUAUAAAAAAUUUUUAUUAUUAAUUUUUUUGUUCAUAUCAAAACAUAUAUUUCUUAUUUUUAAUGCUUUAUUUUUUAUUUAGUUUCUAUUCAUGUGAUUUAUUUAAUUUAUAAUAAAUAUAAAUAAAAGAGUAGUUGAAAAUAAGGAUAAUAUUGUAAACUUACACUAUUAGGGGGUUUUUUGGCCAUUAUAAAAACAGAAGGGGGAAAAAUAAUAUAUGUUGAUUACUGUAGAGGGGAAACUAGCAAUCUCCCUAAAAUUAAGUAUAUAAGUAGACAACAUAACGCAAAACUACCAAAACAAUAAAUAAAAAUAAAUAUUACAUAAUUAAAUAAAUAACAAGUGGCAAAAUUUAUUAUUAGAUUGUUAAUGUCAUGUUUGUGAAAAUUUAUUAUUAAAGUGUAUGUUCUUAUUUAUUGAGAAAUAAUAAUUUUUGUGAUUAAACUUUAUUUUGAUUUUCUAGUAUUCUUUAAUUUAAGGAUUAAGUUAUUGUAAAAUUUAUAAUUUUUAUCCACUAUAUUUUUUUAUAUUUUAAUAUCAAUUUAAUAAUUAAUAACAAUUAAUCAUUAUUAUAAUUUUGAUAUAAUUAAAUUUUAUUAAAAUAAAAAUUAUUUUGAUAAUAAAAUUCAAACUAAACCCAAAUGGUUUGGUUUUGGUUGGGUUAAAAAUAUUUGGGUUGGUUUGGGUUGGAUCCAAAUUUUUAUGGUUUGGUUUGGGUUGACUUGAAAUCCAACCCAAACCAACUCGUGCCCACCCUAUACACAAUAUAUGUACAUCCCCAGUUAUGAAAUGAAAUUAAAACAAAAACUUGUGUUAAACAUUUCUACUAAUUGAAAAAGAUAACUCUAAUUGAGUUCUUUCCUCCACACAUAUUCUAGAUCGAAUUCUAUUUGUGAAAAUAUAGUUAAAUUAAGUUGAUAGUAAAUAACAAAUAAAUAAGAUGGGUAGAGGAAGUAAAAUUGUUUUAGUUAAACUUAAUAUUAAUUGUCUAAAAAAAAGUAUAUUAUUUUGUCCUUAAUGGUAAAUUGCUUGACAUGUAUUUCAAAAAUAUAAAAAUUUAAUUAAAAAAAUAAAGAGUUUAAAAGUAAUUUAGUAAGUUUAAAUAUUUUCACCCUAUAAUACAUAGUACAAAGGGUAAUUUUUAGAGACCUCCCUUGAAAUUUGAUGUAUUAACACUUAGAUAUAAUGUAUUGAUGUAAUUACAGAUAUUUCCUUUGUCGUUAGCAUAAAAAUACGUCUGGCAUCAGUAUAGGAGGGUAAAUGUGUAAAAUCAUAUUUAAAAUUCAAAAUAUUUUUUUACUAGAUCAAUACAAUUUUAACCGACUUGCCUGAUGUUGACCGAAUGUGACCAGCCAGUUAUGGCUCCAUAGGCGGCCGAUGGUGGUGUUUUGCCAUUGCCAGAGUCCUCUUCAUGCCGGUGACCAACGCUGGUGACCAACGCCGGUGACGGGAGCCUCUGAAUCAGCCGCAUCCACCACCAAGCAUUAACCCAAGAAGAUGGGUUUUGUCUCACAACCCCCACACCGGCAAUGCCCCUUUGGCCGUUGCUGAUGCCACCCAUCCGCCAUCACCCUUGAGCCAUCCCGAUACCAUGCAGCAACCUCUGAUAUCCCAAAACUCAACCACACACAGCCCUCAAAACCCUAGCUCGCGGCUUCUCACGCCGCAUACCACUACCGUGAUUUCUGCCAUCGGUGAUGGUUCCAUUUUGUCGCCGUCCAUCCCCUCAACCAACCCUCGUGCAGCUCCGACCUCAAAACAUCUCAACAGCCAUAAAUUUCAUCCCGCACUUGCGGCCAUGUUCAACCCAAUUAGAUCUCGCAAACGAAAUUCUCUUUAAGCCCAAUACACCGCCAACAUGCAUUUUGUUGAAGUGGGUUUUCAAACAAUUUGUUGAUUCUGAUGCAGUUAAUUACUUUGAUACUUGAUAAUAUUUUACUAAGGAAUUAUUUCAGUGUUAGGGUAUUUUUUAUAGUUAACUUGUCAAUUACUUUACAUAAAUGAUUUUUUUUUAUCUUGGAAAAAGCUAUUUCCCCUGAAUUUAAUCCCGAGUCGCGCCCCGAAUUAGAAAAACGACGUUGUUUUGAUUAAAUUGAAAAUGCAUCGUUCUCAAUUUAAUCUGCAUCAGAAACCACACUCACACACUCUCUUACUUCCCUUUUGACAAAUCACAGACUCCAACACAAAUAGCAAUCACGCCCACAAAUAGCAAUCACCCAACGGUCACGCGAACAACCGGCACAGACGACGGAGGAGCCCACAGACGAUGGACCACCGCCAUCACGCGAUCGAGGGAGUAGAACUCAAGCGGUGGUGCGUCCAAACUCCGACGAAAUCGACCACGACGAAGGUGGUUGGAGCCGCGGUUCUUUCAAGCUAAAUCGUCGGUGUUCCUGUUGGUUUUCGGCGGCGAGGAUGGCAGGGAAACGACGGCUGGCUUCCAAGCUUCAUAUCAAUACCUUGAUCGGCUGGUAGAGUGGUCGGGAUCGUGAAAUCCAACGGGGUCACGUUUGCAGGUCAGGUCGGGUUUGCAGGUCAAACCGGGUCAACUUCUCUCCCUCCUCAUCCACUCACAAAGCGCCACACGGCUCCCCUUGGCCAGGUUGUUGCUGCUGGAAUUUUUUUUGCUGGAAGCGUUACUGGUGCUGGAAUUAAUGCUGGAGUUGUUGCUGCUGGAUUUUUUUUUUGCUGGAAGUGUUACUAGUGUUGGAGUUGAUGUUCGAAUUGUUGUUGCAAUUUUUUUUUUUUGUGUGUGUGAACUCCUGAUUGUUUUUUAUUAUCUUGGGCACUUGUUGCUGCUAAUAUGUGUGUGUGUGAAAUUGCUGCAAUGAAUUGAAUACAACAAGUGCCCAAGUCUUGUUGGAAUACAACAAGAAGUCUUGCUGCUGUUAGUGUUGCUGCAAUGAAUUGAAGAAGCGACGUCGUUCGGUUUAAGUGACCGUUUUAAAACUCACACACGUGCUGCACAGCUGCAAUUAAAAAGAAAAAGUGACCGUUUUAAAACGCAGCGUUUUGGCAAAUUCAGGGCGCAAAUUCGAGAUUAAUUCGAGAUUAAGUACGGGGCAUAUAACAACGCUCUUUUAUCUUUUUCUGUGUUUUGUGAUUCCAGCCAAACCUAUACCCAUCGAUUCUCAAAGCUAUAUUUAAUCAUUUAUUAUUUUGGUGAGAAGAAUAUUUUAGUAAUUUUAAGAGUCCACUAACAGUCAACUUAACUUCUAAAUAACGGCAUGAGAGGUUUCCGUAAUUAUAUCAAUACAUUCUAUCUAGGUAUUAAUAGGCUAAAUCUCAGGGGAGGUCCUUAAAAAUUACCCCUAGUACAAACUAGAAAGAAAGUGUCUUUUUCUGCAACAAAGAUGUCCCAUGUUAGAAAUUGUUACUAGAUGCUCACCACUACAAAGCAUUCCGGGGUAGAGAAAUGACGUUGGAGCACAUACAUGAUGCCGUAACUCUGCUCGUAGUAAUCAGAAUACGGAAACGUCUCAAGGUUGAUAGCAAAAGGUGUGCGCUUGAUGGGAUUCUUGCACCUUUUCCAAGUGCUCUUGGGGUAAGAGGGAUUCCUGAAGUCAAAUUUCAGAGAAGUAAUAAUACCUCCGAUUUCAGUAACCCAUCCGAAAACGUUCACAAAUAACAUGAUGGAGUAACCGUAAAAUCAAUAUUACUUCCUGUCACAUUCAUCAAAGCCAACCAAUUUGGUAACAUUCCUUUCUACCGCAGAAUCGGGGGAGCCUAGACAGGAUUUCUUCAGCACUGAGAAUAACAGAAAAUCUGAGCACUUUGUGACGGCUUAUACUCGGCAACCAUUUGCCAAGAACAGAUAGUUUACAAUUAGAUGCUUGAAAUCAAUCCCUAUUGGUAUUAAUGAGGAAAGCCAGAGCUAAAAUCCACAGAUGCCUGUUGCUCAAAGGUCCUAUGAGAAAUUGGAUGGUCUCAGGAAACCCACUAAAAUAAAAAUAAGUAAAUGAAUAAAUAAAUAGCAAUAAAAAUCCCAUUUCAAAAAGAUGGAUUUCAUCACAAGAAAGAAGUGAAACAAAAAAUUGUUUUCUCAAUUAUCUCCACAGCCAAAGUAUAAGGGAGGACAAAGUUAGCUUUACCUAUGUCAACUUGGUUGCUGAUUCCUGAAAUUUAAUGAGCCAAAAACGUUUGAAAACAGUCUCAUCCCAGAAUUCUAAAGAAUUAUGAGGUAAGAAGCAAUGGCUAAGUACAUUGCCAAAAUUUUUCCGCUUUUCAUAUGGAGAUACACUAUCCAAAAACUCAACAAAACUAGAUUUCUGAUCUUUCAUGUGUUCACGUAUCUUCUUUCAGCUGGGGUAAUAAGUAGAAACCUCAUCAAGGAAACUCAUCGCCAUAACCUACUAAUGAAGCCCUUUCUGUCUUUCUUCAUCCUAUUCUCAAGAGAUGGGAAAUCAAUAAAAUUGUAGGCAAGGUCAAGAACAAUUGGAUUCCGAGCUAUUGAUUGGAAUGCUGGGGGGAAGGCCUCAAUGCGUGCAGCACCUUUCACAUUUGAAUCACCAACAGCGGACUCAUACACAUCAAGUUUCUCAAGAAGAAAUUUAUCCACCUGAAAAGACUUACGAAGAAAUGAGUCAAACCAAUGCAAGGAUAUAUGAUAAUAUACUCCAAUAUAAGCACAAUUUAUAGAUGCUUAUUAUACUCAGCUGCUAACAAAUUAAAUAGUAAAAUACAUAAAUAAAAGAAAAUAGUAUGAAUCAAUUUUCUCUCCCUCCUAUAGAAAAGCAACUCCCAGUAUGUAAGCACAGACUAAAUCAGCUUAACUAAAUAAGGAUAAGCUGCUUUAAGCUUCUAGUUAAAAUAAAAUACAUGGUUAACAGAUGUCAUAUUUAUUUCUUAGGAAUGAAAGAAGAUGAAGGCUAUGCAGUACCUUCUUUCCAGUACCACUUAUCGAUACCGUAGAGAUUUUAUUCGACAAAUUUUCCGAAGCCUUCUCCUCCACCAUAAUCCCCUUCGCAUGUUCUAUGCAACUAUUAGAUCUGCACUCCUUGCAUAAUGUCUUCAACUCUUCGAUCAUCAUCUGCAAAAUGAAAAAGGAAACAGAAAAGAUUUAGCAUCAAUUCCCAACAUGCCCAAAAGAAAAAAAAAAAUCAUUUAAAAAGUGUAGGAUUAUGCAACUAGGUUAUCUGUCCUGAAAUAAGGAGUCACUUACAGAAAGUUGCGAACAUUAAGAAUCUCUUUUCUACUGUAACUUGAAGAAAAUUGUAAAUACCGAGAAUAUAAGGCAUAUGAGCAUCAAUAUAUGCACGUGCACUUAGUUAAGAAUCAUCAAGGACCUUUUGAUAUUUAGGAAGCAAGUCAUAAUGCUUUUUGAGGAAGCAAAACAAUCUCUGAAACUACUUUGAAAGGUAUAGACGAACCUGAUCGCUGUUGGCCAUGCGUUGAAAAUCCUUUAGGGCAUUUUCGGCAUGAGAACGGGCACGACAGUAUAAUGCAUAAGCUUCUGUUCUCUUUCCAGCCAAACUAUAUGAUCUUGCCAAGUAAAAGCACCUGCAAGAAGUACAGAGUCCAAUGACUUAAUAGGACUUAGGAACAUUCCUUGACAACCAAAUCAAUUAUAAAUAAAAUACUCCUGGAGAUAUGUGAGAACCUGGAUCAUCCAUCAUCUAGGCAAGAAGGAAAUCAUAAAUGAUGAUGAAGACAACAAGGCCCACUCCCCAGCAAACGGACAAAACCCCCUAACCCCAACCUCAAGCAAAGAAAAGACUUGAGAAACCGGUAUAUAAUAAAAAAUUUAUUAAUCUGAUUCACAUUGGACAAAAUAGUAAACUUCAAGGGGAUAAAGGAAAGAGACAAAACUUCUAUACCAUUUUUCUGGGAAGAAAGGAACAUCAAUUAUUAUACCUCACGAAUUUUAAAACAGUUCUUAACAGAAUGUCUCUUUGUGCCUUAGUUUCAAUGGAAUUUCAAGGUACUCUCUUUUUUCAAAUACAUUUAAAUUGAGGAGGAAUUUUAAGGUAGGUAGCUUUUGUCUUUUGGAAAGGUUUUUGUCUUGGAUGGGCUAAACAGUAUCAACAUCUGAAACAUUCUUAUUGGAGAUACUCUCUAAUUUGUAAAUUCUUAAGUUGUUUUUGGGGCUAGCGGACGUCUUGUUCACCUUUUGGAAAAUUUUAUAUAUUCAAUCUACUUGGCUUUGUUCCCAGAAAAAUGUGGCAACAAAGCCAGGCAUCCUUGAUGCCCUUAUAACAGAUUUUAUAAAGAAUUAGCUAAACAAUCCUCAUAGAAAGUCAACAAGGACAUGUAACACAGGUUACAGGUUCUUCCAGCAAAAUCCCAAACAAAUAUGAUGUGCAUUUUCUACCAUAGCAAAGAAUUCUAACAAGAUGAGCAUCUAUGGACAGGAUGUAGACCAGAGUGAUGGCAACAUACAGACAAUACUGAAAAUGACACAUUAGAAGACGUGUAGCACUGAAGAAGGUGAGAAGAACCUAACCAAGGUUUUAGUUGGAAAUGACAAGGGCUCCAAACUUACCCAAACUAAAAGGCACAGCAAGAUUUGGAAAAUAAAUUGCAAAUCAAGGCAUAACUCGCCCAACACAAAUUGGAAGGAUUAACUUAAGAAGACAUUAGUGUGAUCCACAGUUGUACUAGCAGAUGAAGCAAUUUAAUUAAAAAGAGUUCAGUCCAAGCGAACAACAAAGAAUUAUAAAGAAUCAUACCUUUCAGCACGGAAUGCUAAACUUUUAAGCUCACACUCUUCAGCAAAUUUUACUUCUUCAGGUUUUCUCUCUCUUCCAGAACUAACUAAAUCAGAUAGAUCAGCUGUAUUCUGUUACAAAUAACAUAAUCAGAUAGAUCAGCAGUGUUCUGUUACAUAUAACAUCAAUUACAGAGAAAUUAGCUAUCAGCUCUCAGGUAGCAGCAACUAGCAAACUCAUCCCAGCAUCUUUUCAUGAAUAAAGGCAUAACAAGAAUGCAUACAUAUAGAAAGACUGUUAACCUGUAAUAAGAGAUCAUAUAAGCGAACAAGUUCUUCAGGCUUGGUAACUUUCCCAGUUUUGUCAUCACGUUGCUUUGUGAGUUUACCCUUCACAAUGCUAACCAACAACUGAUUCCGCUCAAUGGUACGUUGCCCUAGUACAGCACUAACAGCUUUGUCAAGGCCAUAUAAGUCAUCUUUUACAUUUUCGGCAUUGCCUGCACUUGCCUAUAAUAGACAUCAGGUCAGGAAUAUCAGUCAAAAAGAAGAAAUGAAUUGUACACACAAGUUAAAGAGCGGGGAAAAAACCAACGACAUCACCAAUAAAAACUCAAGCAUAAAAGUACAAGGAUAUCAUCUUUUAUCAUUAUGAAUAAGAAACAAUUGGUUAAUGUUCCAUACCAAGUCACUACGAAUGCAGCUCCUGGCUUCAUGGUAUGCAGUAAAAAUUUUAUCAAAGAUGACUAGCUUUUUCUCUGCAGGUAGGGAAUCCGCUGCUUUAACAUGUAAAUCCUUCUCCAAUUCUUGAGCUGAAAAACAUGUCAUUUGAAUCAGAACAUGAGACCUUGUUUGGACUAAACAGCAUAUGACUGAUGACGAAACUUCAGAAACAUUUCACAGAAUUUGCCACAAUGACCUGGAGGGAUAUCAUCAUUCACUAAUAGAAUGAAUGAUGCAUAAACAAGAUUUUCAACCAAUAUGCAACUGCCACUAAUUUGCUAGAGUUUAAUUAACCGAACAAAAGUGCAGACUGCAUCGAAAGGAAACAAACAACAAACACAUAAGAAUAGGUUCAAGGGUAAAAAGUACACAAGGCUUACAGACUUGGCAUCAGCUUUAUAAUUGGUUUUUCAAUUUGGGUAGGAAACAGAACAGCAGCAUUUUUCAUUUAAUAAUUAAAUUCAUGAACUGCUUGAAUUAUUAAAGACUUAGUAUACCCAGAGGACAUGACAAUAUACUCAAUGCUCAAAUUCAAGACCAUAGAACCAUAUUUGUCCUGUCCCCACCCAAAAUAUUGUCCAACUAUAUUGGAAGCAUGAUAGAACAAUACUAUGAGAUUGUAGCAUAGAAUAGAGAAGCAUGUAUACCCUUCAAAAAUGUAACAGACAAACAAGGAUUGGUAUUUUUUGACCGAGCACCCCCUAAUAACAAUGAUAUAUUUAAUAUCACCUUUCCCUAAAAAAAUUUCCCUAGUCAAAAAAGAUAUUCAAUACCCCAGAGGACAAGUGAAAACACUUUUCUAAUCAUCACCAUCCACUGGAAGCCAGUUUGCUGAUAAUUGAAAUAGCAUCAAUCAAGGCAAAAACUAUUCCAAGUACCUUGCAAUUAGUUAGCUUCAAGAAACCUGUAAGUUAAAUAGAUUUCAUCUACCUCAUUAAUUACUAGUUGAUAAAUUCAGGAGCUCUAAGAUCUCUUGUACUACAUUUGAGAAAAGCAAAUUCACACGGUAGAACAAUAAGACUAUAAGAGAUGACAGCAGACCUAAGCAACAAACUGUACUAUGCUGCCUGUGAAUCAUUAUCAAAGGAAACAAAUAAUCAACCUUUUAAAAUGGCGACCCGAGUCUUUGCAUUGGAUAUUGGAAAUCUAUGGCCAAGCCAGUGAAACUCAGUCAGGGAUGCAGCCUGUUGAGACCUUGCCUCUGCCAUAACAGCCUGCAACAAGAGAAUGAAAGCAUCAGCACUCAUCUCAGCAUAUGACUUGUUCUGUUUACAGUAUUCAAACUUACCUCCAACUUUGAUUUGAAAAGAUCUAGUGCAGGACCUUCCAUCUCGCCGAUUUGUAAAAGUUCAGAGGUUUUUACAUUUGAUUCACCAAUUUUAUGUAGGCAGUAGCGGAUGCUAGGUUCUAGCUCCUCAACUCGCUCCCGGCAUAAAACUUGAUUUUCUACAUCUCCAUAUUUCCCAAGUUCUUCAUACACAGCCCUAAAGAUUAUUAACAACAGCAGCAGAAUACAAUCCCAUCAGUAAGAAGAAAGAAUAGUUAGUCUAGCUUCCUGGUUUAUUAAACCACAGCAAUCAGUAUGAGAAAUCAAACAAAAAGUGAGGAAAUAAAGACGAAAAAAGGCGGACUCAAAAAAGAAAAUAUCACAAGAAUUCAUAACAUGAAUCCCUGAAGCAGUCAAAAUACGCUUUUUUUUUUAAAUAAGAAACUGGUCAAAAUACGCUUAUUUAUCUACAAUCAAGGACUUCUAAUCAGUACCUAAAUCGAAAUUCACUGAUCACAGUGAGACAAAGGAUAUAUUGUUUAUGGAAAGGCAACAACCAAUGAUGUCCAUAUAUCAUGUUCCAGAGACAAGGAUUAACCUGGCACUUUUGAAAUUCUUUAAUGCAGUUUCCCAAUUCUGAUCUUGUUCAAACAACAAAUUCCCUUUCAUGUAGGAAGCAUAAGCCUACAAAUUAAAAACAAAACAAGGUGAAUAAAACAAAUAAUAGCAAAUUAAAAAGGGACAAUGGGAAUAAUCUUAAGGCAAUCAGAAUUUUAACUAGGAGUACUGAAGCAUUUGGAAUACAUAAUAACUGAGCUGUAAUACAAUAAUCAACUAAUUGAUUAAAUGCAUAAUGGUGGGAAAUAGGUCAGGAAUACACAAGCCUUGCAUGAAAAUCAGACAAGCCUUGAAUGACUUCUUAAUCUCAUACAUACCUCAAAGUAAGGGGCUAAAAAUUUGAUCAUUGAAAAAUGCCUUGUAAUAGGGCAAACUCAUAACCAAAUAAAGACUAGGCUUAUGCUUGGAGUCAGCUCCCUUAAAAUGGCUUCUCAAAAGAUGACAUGAGAGAUAAACUUUUAGUUUCAGUUUCUAAUGCCCACAAGGCACAAGCCCCAUCCACUGAUACACACUAAGAAAAAUAUCGUGCAUAACCAAGACAAUACAUUUAUUUAGUAAUCCCAAUGUUCUUCACGCAUUUUUAAAGAAGAAAAUUGAGUACUAUAUACAACAUUUUUAAGUCCUAUCACACACAUGUCAAAUUCCAUUUCAAAAAAGCGAUAGCCAUCAAAAAUUUAAAAGGCCAUUGGAUGCAGUGAUAAGAAACUGCCACAAGGGCCUCCUGUUUUCGCUAUCAGCGUACCCCUACAUAGCAGCCACUCAAUGUCAUUAGUGCAUCCAACAAAAGGAAGACUAAAUAUAAACUCUUUAUAACUUUCCAACAAAAUAUGCACAGAUGUACCUAGCAAAUAGUUUAUAAACUUAUCUCAUCAGUACAAUGACUGAAUAAUAAAGUCCCCGAAAGCUCCACAAAAACCAUUUGAACAAAAAUUACCACUGUCACAACACAAAGUAAGAAGAAAAGUGAUUUCCCAGGAGUUCAUGGAAACAAUGCACUCACUCUAUCCACACAUACAUGAUUUGCACUAAAGAAACAUUAUUGUUCAGGAAAAAAGUAUAACUACUUUCUUUUUCUCUGUGUCCUACUAACAGCCAUCACAUAAGCAGCCCAAAACAAGCUUAUUACAGACAAACCUCAGCUUCCAAAGAUGUUCUUGGGUCUGCCUUGAUAGCACACAAAUUCGAGAACAGGGUGGCCCAUUUGACUGCUUUCCUCAGUCUUCCAAUCAAAUAGAUGCGUUGCCGUGCGUUAGGGCCAUCUGGAAGCUGUCUUUUCUCCAUGGCAUGGCUCCAAGCUCUCUCUGCCGUAUAAAGAACCAGAUGAAGAAACCUAAUUUGAAUCAAAUAACACUAAAUGUUAAACAUAAACAGACUACAAAUAAGUUGAAGUUUUUCUCUCUUUCAAACUCCGGUAGAUGUUCUUUUAUAAAUUAUAAGCCACAAAACAAGGUUCUAUUUAAUCAAUAAAACAAGCAACACCAUGCUCCAUUAAUUUAAGUUUGCUAGUUUCAUAAAAUUAAAGGAAAAGAAAUAUAAACUUGAACUUCAACAAACGUCCCAUUAAUUAUGAUAAUAUUUUAUUUGACUUAAUCCCAUUCAUAUCUCAAGUUUCACAAGUAAAGAAAUCAAGUUUGCAUGUCUAAAGAAAUUAAAGGAAAACACUUAAAUCUCAACAAAAGACCCUUUAGUGACGAUUAUCUUUUUAAGACUUAAUCCGAUUCAUAUAUCAAGAUAAGUAAAGACAGCAACCAAUCGCAACCAAAUUAUGUAAUCCCAACCUUUGGUUAUGUCUUACACAUCAAAGCAACCAAAUUGCCAACAAACAUUCUUUGGAUAUGCUUGGGAUUGAGAUUGGAAAUGCUAACUAUCAAGUAUGAUCGACGGAUGAUAGGUUAAUAUUAUGUGGCGAGUAAAUAUGAAUGUUUGUGGCAAACACUAUAACUGCUGUCGUUUCAAAUUUAAGCAGAGGCAUAGCAUUUAUAACUUAUAAACAUACGAUUAGUAGCAUUUGAUUCUGUUGAAGCCGAUUACAAUGAGAAUGAAAUAAAGCAUAAACCAAAAAGAAAAAGACGAAUAAAUGAGACACACCUCACUUCAGUGACGGUGGAUUCAGUAAUGGCCUUUCGUGUAUAUUUACCACGGCCAUGGGUAAAUUUCAAGGAUUUAUAAAGCCUCCUCAACCUAGCAGUGCAAUACCUCCUGUAUUUGACAUUUAAUCCAAUCAAUUUUAAAUUCACAAUAUAAAACAAAUUUCACAAUUCCUAAACUAAUAAAAAUAAUUUCAACAUUGUUAAAAUAUCUAAAAUAAAAAUAUCAUCAAUAUAAGUACCGAUAGCGAGUGUAGUCACCAUGCCGCAAUCCAUGCUGCAUCUGAGCAGACUUGAGAAGCUGCAGCACUGUAGCUCCAAAAAAUAAAUAAAUAUAAAAAUAACGUCAAUUUUUUUAAAUAUAAAACAGAUUUAUUUUUUCUAUUGUUUGGUGAAAUGCUAACCGUUGAUAGAGAAUUUGGAACCGAUCUGAUCGGAAUUGCUGGAUUUUUUAUCGUCAAUUUCCAUAGCCGAUGUUUCGCUGUUUAUCGCCAUGCUACUGAUCGACAAAUUAACUAAAUCCUCCGUCUGGAGAAAACGAUGUCGUUUUAAAUCUCAAUGUGGCAUCGAAUUUUAAAGUCAGUGCAAUUUAUCAUGAACUCAAAAUGUAGAGUUUUAAAGAAAGAGAUCAGAUUAGAGAGAGGGAUAUGAUAGAAAAGGCGAAAGAGAGAUGACGGUUUUGAAUCGUAGGGCAAAUCUUUCAAAUGAAAUCCGAGCCGAUUUCAAAACCGGAUUUUGGGUUUUGAUGACAUCGCCGGGUUAACCGGUUCUCUGUGCCUAUAUUUUUUGAGCCCGGUUCACGGAUUUUGCUGCAUCGUUUGUACUCGAUUUUUUUUUUCAUUUUUGAAACAAUGAAACUCGUAACCUUAUAAAUCAGUAUUUAUUAAGCAUAUAAAUGCUUUUCUAUCAUUAAAUAGUCAAGGAUUUCUAUCUCCUUUUCAAAAAAUUUAUGUUAACUUUUUUUCAUAAUGUGAAACUGUGAAUGGUGCCAAAUUUAUUAAGUUAAUUUUAUUUUUAAGCUAUUUAGACAUCAAACGUGCACUAGUUAGCAUGGAGUUGGCAUCAAUUGUUGCUUGUACAAUUUUUCGGAUAAUUAAAAAAAAGAAAUAAUUUUCCAUGGAUGAAUAAUCCAUAAUUUAUUAUUGCUUUUCUUUGUAUAUUAUAAGUCCAACAAUUAAAACUCAAAAUUCAAUAUGUAAAAUCCAACAUAGGUCCAACACAUAAAAUAUCAUAAUAAACUCUACAGCCACAUGGGGAGACUUUCUUAACUUAAGAGAGAAUGUGUCAACCAAUUUAAUUAUGUGUUAUUUACUGUAAUUUGUUAUUAUUAGAAAACUUUACGUCGAUUAGAUUUUAGAUGAUUGAUUAUAUCAAUCCCAACCACAGUUGUGGGUCGUAAUUUGUUAUUGUUAAAAAAAUUUCGUAUUGCUUAGAUUUUAGAUGAUUAAUUAUAUUAUACAUAAAUUAAAAAAAUAAAAUUAUUAAGAAAAAAAAUAAAAUUAAAUAAGAACAUUACUCGGCUAGCAAAGCUUGUUAUUAAACUUAAUAUUUUCUUAUUCUUUAGGACAGCUUUUUUUCUCAUAUUAUUGUUGUUUCCAUUCUUUGUCUAUUUAAUUCUUUCAUGAAUCGCAAACAUGAGAGUGUAGAGACAAUUGACAAUAUAUUAUUGAUCAUUACAACAAUUCGCCUAGGCAGAGCUCUAUGAGAAGCCUAAACUAGUUACUUAUUUUAGACAGCUAAUGACAGACAUUACGGUAGCGAAAAAGUUGCCUUCCGACGCAAGUUACUCCGCCGGUAUAAAGCAUCUGAGAAACUCCCCCUAUAAGUUACCUACAAAAGGAGGAAACCUAUAAGUAAUAAAUCACAUUCGCGAAUACUUAUAAGUUCAUAAAGCAUUUCAUACCUUUUAGAAUAAAAUUCGAUAACGAAGGUGCGGAUUUCCAUUGGAGCAAGUUCAACAACCAAUUUUGCUGGAUCAACAGGUGAUCCUCUUACAGCCGUUGGUUGUUCUUUGGAAGAGCCUUCAACUCUCCACACUAGCCUCUUCUUCUCCAUCACAGCUCUUUCUUGAUUAGCCGAUAGGUUCAUCUCUGUUACUUUGCUAAUCUAAGAGUAAUGAAACAGAAAACAUCAUUAAUGAUAAUUCAUUACUUAAUGCUACUAGUAACAAAUGAGUUUUGUUUGUGUAGUGAUCUGAUUCUACCUUCUUCUUUGGGAAAAUCUUUUUCAGUUCUACACGUGACAUAACUGAUAGAUCUGUGUCCUCUUCAAUCUUGCAUUACAAGGCACCAAAAGGAAUAUGAAAAUGUUUUCUUUCUAAGACUAUAAUAGAUUUUAUAAUUGGAGGUUGGAAUAAUCAAAUAACUAACUACCUCAUAUAAGUGUGCCAAUCGAAGGAGAACCUUUCCAGAAUCCAGCUCCUGCAGAAUUUGGGGCAAAGUGAUAAAUUUGAACUCAUUAAAUCAUUAAUACAUGGGCACAUACUUUAUUUCAAGUAGUCUAUAAGAGACAGAAAAUAAGCAAUGUGACAUAAAACCUGUAGGGUUAUCAGUGCAACAUUAUCAGGUAAAACAUAAGUGGUAUCCAUCGCUGAGUAGGUUGCUAAAUGAGAAUUUGCCCAAUGAUCUCCAUCCUGGAAAUAUUAUGACCAACUUUAUGAGUAAGAAAUAGAUCACUUUAUAUGUUAGCUAGAAUACUCCAAAUUUCUUGCUUUUCACCUGCUCUGUGAAGGCUAAUAGGAAGGGAGAAUAUAUCUCUUGCCCAAAUGAUCGGCGCCACUUAGCAGCCUCGCCUACAGGAUCUAUUCUGAGAUAGUACUUUCCGAUAAUCUGUAAGAUGUACAUUAAGUAGGCGAAACACAGGUGACAACUUUUGUAUCAGUGAAAUAGUUAUAUAAAUCAGUCAGAGUGGGCUUACAGUUAGUCCUUCACAUUUGUCAAAGACACAAACUGUUUCAUUCAAUGCCUCAGAAACUCCUCUGUUGUCAUCUGCAACCAACCUCCUGCUCAUAGAAGGAUCCCAUUUAACAUGUUUGUAACAAUCAAUGAUAUAGGUAUAACAAUGCUAUGGGUACUAUGGGUAUGGAGAACAAACCUGUGAAGCAUCAGUUCCAAUUGACCAUCAGCAAUACUUGAUGCCCCCACUGAUCGAUCAACCAAGAUUGAGAGCUCUGAACUAUUAUCUUUCAUGUAAAUUCCUAGAUUAACCUGAAAGGAGCAAAAGAGCAAACUUCAUAAGUUAUGCACAAAGAGAUUAAUCUUAAAUCUUUUACAUCUGUAUUGGUCAUCCAGUCAUGAGCACACAAUCUUUUGUAGGGACCUAGCAUUUUAGCAUACACUUAUAUUUUAUGAAUUUGUUGUCCAUGGAAGAUAUCCAGAGCAUUAUGAGACAACAAAAUGAAGUGGUUACACAUAUAAGAUAAACUUACUGGGUAAUAAUUUCCGGCAAUAGGUUGAUUCACCUCCAGGUUCCAAUCUUUUCUGUAGUCUCGAAUCUGCAAGAAGUGAAUAUUUUAACUUUAUGCACGAUCACAGAUUUGAAUAUUGAUUGAUUCUAGAACAUAGAAAGAUUCCAGAUUCCAAGGUCCUAUUCAUAAACCCUCCAACCAUGUGUUAGUAAUCAAUGUGAGCUGGUAACAUACCCUUUCAAUAAAAUCACGACCACUGGAAUCUGUAUAGAAUGUCUUGUUGCUAAUCACAUUUGACGUAAUCUGAGUCACAACCUCUUUCCCAAUCCCAUCAUCAAUAGGUAUAGGUCCAACCUGAAGUUGAUAAAAAAAAUUUGUUGAUACAAGUCUCCAAUAUGAAUCGUCUACUCUUGAUUAUACUAAGUAGUAGUGCAGUACACUUACAGUAAACUCAAUUUCAGCAUGAUCUUUUCCCUUGUACACCCUAGUGACCUGUUUAUGCAUGCAUUAAGUAAAUACCCACCAUUUAGUGAAUGAUUUGACGCUGCAUCGAAUAUUAGAAAAUAAAUAAAGAUUAAUGCUCCUUCUGGCGAGUUCAUUCACCUGAUAUAUCCAAGGAUUGAUCCUCUGAUGCACUUCAUCCAACAAUGGUCCCCGGAAAAUGGUGAAAGAGAGCUGAAAUUACUGGCAGCUCCUUAGUUUUUCAUUCAUUACAUAUAAAUUGUUCAUUUUUUAAUUUCUUAAAAAGAGUCUGAGUACCUGCCCUUCAGGUUCGAUAGGAUAUGUACCAUUUGGACGAAAAAUGUAUGCUCCAGAGGGCUUCAACAAUUCAGUUAACACAUUUGUUUGCAAAGUUUUAAGAUAUCAUCACCCAUCAGGAAACUAGAAAAAGGAUGGAGUAGUUAUAUAUAGUUACCUGAAGAUCUUUACUUCCAUCGUCUCCACGAUAAUAGAUAUAUGAUUGCUCUAGCAGUUUGUUAACCUUCAAUUGUGAAAUGAUUCAAAUUACAUAUGAAAAUUAGAGAAAUAUGUAAAUAUACAAUUUGAAAGGGAGAGUCAAUUUCCAAACAAACACAUACCAAAGUUUUACUAUUGAUGUACUGCGUAAGUUUUGCUCUUUUUCCAGAAUAUAAAAGUUUCAGGUUUCCUGGACCGACUUCUAUGGUAUCAUUUUGACGGAUUUGUGACUUGUAAACAGUUCUCAUCCCUGAAUGAGAAGCUGCAAUUCCAAAUUGAAGGUUAACAAACUGUUAGAAACCUUAUACUCUGUCUAUGUCACGUGUUACACACUACAGCAAUCACAUUCAUAACCUGCUUGUUUGGCACUUGAGAUGAUGUAAGUGUUGAAACCAAGAGGUGGUACAGAUGCUGAAAAUGCAAGCCAAUAACUUGGGGUCACAUUCGUGGAUUUUUCCAAAUAAGCUGUAGAAUAGCUGUUUCUUAAGCUCAUAGAGUCUUUCAGAAGAGGCAGAAGCUGAGAUUCAAUUACUUUUCCUUUGGAAUCCUUAACAGUGACAUUCUCAUUAAUAACCUGCAGGGAGAUUAAAUAAGUUGAGAUGAUAAGUAAAGAGGUUGAAGACAAAAAGAAAAAGUCGGAAGAAAAUACUUUCAAACUCUUACUGGCUAAAACCUAAGAUAAAGCAUAGUGAAAUCACUCACAGGAAUUCUUAUUAUAUCCUCUCGUUUCCAGCCUAGGGGAUUAUAUACAACAACAACCUGCAGAACAAAUCACCUUAAGAUUUCAUCCACAGCAAUUGGAGUAAGAUAAUAAUCCUUUCUAAAUAAAUCGGAUAAAAAUAUUCAAGUGUUCUUACUUACCAGGCUCUUCCCACUAGACAGAUCAACUUCUGAUGGAGGACAAUAGCUUAUAUUCAGAAGUGGACACUGAAACAGCAAAAAGAGGAGGAGGAAAAGCGAUCAGCAUUCUUAAUUUUAAAACCUGGGGCCUAAGAAUUGCUUUAAAGAAAUGCAUGCUACAUUAUGCAUUAUUUAAAUUAGCAUGUCUUGCAAUGUGCUUUAUGUCAUGGCAAUUUUGAAGCACACAAUUAUCCGCAUCACAAAAGUUAUUUCAAGAGUCUUGAGUUAGUGCGUACAUAAUUACAUACAUUUUAUAAUAAGUUUAUAAUUCUACACGCAGAGUAAAAACAGCAGCCAGUGAAAGUAAAUUUGCCUGUUGAAAAUUAGUAAUUGGGUUGACACAACCAUUCUUUGAAAACUCUGUUAGGCAUGCAAGUGAUGCUGCAACAACCUUUUCGGCCUGCAAGAAAAGUUAUCAAGAAACAUUACAGUUUUAGCAUGGUGAAGAGAAAUAAUACAAGAAUGCUAAAGAAGGUGAAGCCUCAACCUCAGUGUAGCCAAUUGACAAUCGUUUCGCAUAAUCAUCAGCUACAUGCUGCUUCUCUGUACCACUCACUGCAUCAUGAUGUUGCACAAGUGCUAAGGCAUCAGCCAAAGAGUCAGUGCUGAGACCAACUUCAUUCCUUCCCUUGAAGAACUCCAAUUGCCUUGCUGCCUGUUUAUUUAUUUAACAAAAGGAGCAUCAUGCAUCUAUCUUUUUUUUCUUUUAUGAUGAAACAAUUUAGAAGACAAAUCAGUCUUACAAGGUAGUAGGCACUCAUUGUUCUGACAUAGCCUUUGAGGGCUGGCCUACUUGUAAAAUAUCCUGUCCAAUAAGCAUUUUCACGGUCUGCAUAUCUGAUGAAUGCAGGCAUAGGUAUACACACAGAUCAAACAACAAAUGGUGAAUGGCUAUGAGUAGUUAAAUUAAGUAUUACUCACGGAAAAAAGUCAUCGGUCUUCAAUGGCCAGGACUCAUUUGCUGCAUAUUUUGCAUCAAUGUACAUCGAUGGGGUCGAGUACAGAGCAUUGACACGCCCAUCCUAGAUACAUUCAAAACCAGCACUUCCAUUGAACACAGAAAAGAAGUGUUUGGGAAGCCAAGUCCUAGAUAACUUGGUAAUGCAUUACAAUCACUAGUCCUAGAUAACUUGGUAAUGCAUUACAAUCAUUAUGGAUGUACUAACCUGAUUAACAUAAUGGAUAAAUUUGUCCAUCUGCCGGAACCAUGUGUGUGCAUAUUGAUACUUGAAGUCCGUCCCCAUAGUCCACAUGAUAUGAUUUGUUCGAGUUAUAUUUGCCUAACAAAAAAAAGAGAGGGAGAAAAUUAAUGAUCUUUGAUAAAAUUGAACUGCUGCUAUUGCAUCCACUGAAAAUCAUUACAUAAAGCAAUUGUCACUGGUAAAGAAUUAAAAUAUGUAUUUGAUAUCAAUUGAGAUAGCAGCACUGCAUCUGCCAGUUAAAGCCAAUGCAUGUGUGUCACAGAAGUGCAACAUAUUGACAAGCUUAGUGUGUGAAAACAGCUAACUUACUUGUGCUAUUGCAGCAGACACAAAGUCAUUAACGCGCUCAGGGACAUUGUAGUCAAACAAAUUCAUGUCAUCCUUCAAGUCAAAAACAAAAAGUCAGAAUUUUACAUAUAUAUUUGUGUAGAUAUGUCAAUGCUUGUCAUAGAGAUUACCUGCACAAUAGGCGAAGUAUCGCCAACUUCAAAGUAGAAAUUGUCCGAUGGAGGUUCAUAAUUCUUAGGGGAUAUACCAGUCAUUAUCUGCAAAAGAAAUUAAAACACACAUACAUAACAUUAGCACACGGACCAGUUUGGUUAAAUUAACGAAAACAACCAUGUGAAUGGCUUAAGUAACUCACCUGAGCAGAUGAACCGAGACUCUUAGAGGCACGCCAGACAACCUCCAGAGUCUUUUCGUUUAUCCUUUUAGCUCUGUCUUGAUAAUCAAUUCUCGCAAAGAAAAGAAAGUCGAAUCCAACCUAGGCCAAUAAGGAAGCUUUUGUGUUCACCAAUUUGUUGCAUAAAGCAUGUGGACUAGUGAGGGAGUUAAAGAGAUCGCAUAUAAUACCUCAGCGCUCAACAGGUAAGCCUGCACUGCAGAAUGCCCAAAUGGAUCAAUUUGCCAACCAAUUCUUGGAGUCACAUUGAAUUGUUCUUUGAUGUAUCGAUGCCCAAGAGUUGUCUGAUCGAUCAUGUCAAUGUAAUGUGGGGCUGCCUCGUCGUGCAUGCACAUACCCCCAUUUCUGCACACCAAUAAUGAGAAAAUCACAACCCAGAAAACAAAAUUCCCUUUAAAGCACUAAUCUUCAUUCUUCAGUAAUCCAUUGUCAGUGGCUAGAUGCUACCGCAACAUAGUUUUAAGAAGAAAAGCUUCUUUAUGAUAUAUAGAUUUUAACACUUCAAAGAUAGGAGAAUGUUACAUUAGCUCAAGUUGACCGGAGUUGACCAGCUGCUUCACUACAUUCUGAACUUCCUCACUCUGGUCUCUCCACCACCUCUGGAAGAAUGCCUAUACUUAUCGAGAAAACAACAAGUCCGUGGGCAUAAAUUUCCAAUAGGAAAUCAAAACUUAAAAAACCAAAAAAAAAAAGCCAUGAGUGAUUGCCUGUUCAACAUAUAUGAACUUCCUGUUCUUAUCAGCCACCAGUGCCGGAAUUAGAGAAUCAAGCACAUUUUGCACACAAGCCACCUGCAUAUAGGCAUCCCAUUAAUCAUCAAAAAAGAAACCAUUCAUUUCAAUAAAAGUGAGUGCACAUAUAAAGAAGAAGAACCUGAAUGCUGUUAUUGGAGCCAACAUAAUAUUGAUCCACGGUUUUCAACCAACCAACAUCAUCAUGCGAAUGGGGCACCAAAUGAACAUUGAUCUUCCCCGGCACAAUCCCGGCCGAGGUAUUAUACAUCAUGUACUUCGACUCCACGCAUAAUAAAGACAAAAAAAAAACCACUACUAAGCAAACUUGAUUCACCAUUGAUGACUGUUGAUGCCCAGUUAGCACAAACGCUUAAAUUUGAGCAGAUAAAGUAAACCAAAAAAAAAAAAAAAAAAACUCAGCCGAGAGAACCAAAGUCAGUAGUAUUAUCACUUAUUUUCUUGUUUUCUAAUGGCUGGCCUGUGAAAAUGAAAGCCAAGCUCUUGAUAAUUCUUGUCUGUCUUUGUGAGUGAUGGAAAUGGAAUAUUGUGAGCCCAGUUGUUUUAGUAUUCAGAGUCGUUAUCGAGUCACUAUGUGUCUGUGAGCUUUAUCAAGACUUACAGUCUUACAGAGCCACGUGCAUGCAGUUAAGAUUUAAAUUACAGGUAUAUUACAAUCUUAUGAAAGGAUUAGCAUUUAAUCCAAGGAAAUAUAAUUAACUUGCAACUUUAAGAUUAAACGGAGAGACAAUGAAGGGCGUGUAUGUUUGAAAAAGUGUUUGCCCGCUUCUACUGUGACCAAUCGUUUAUCAUUUGGUCUUGGCCAGCCAAUAGCGUGGCACCCCACGCUUUUACUGUUGUAUCUAAAUUUGAUUUUCUUCCAUUUUUAUUAAAGAUUCGCCAUCUUGGAUUUUUUAUUUAAAGAAUUUAUUACACAUAUGUGUGCUACUAUUUUUGGAAAAUCGUGAACAAUCUAAUAAAUAAACAAUUUCGUAUUUCGAUAAAUUAAUUUAUUCAGAAUUUAUAUGAACAUUCAGGUUUUUGUUAUCUUAUCUUCUAAGUUGGGUUUGCACCAAUUAUUCCCUAGUUAUGCAAUUAAUAAUGGUCAAAGCUCAUACCCCACCUUUUGGCUUUGUUGGUUGACUGUGACGUGUUAUGGUCUUGGACAGAUUAUAAGAUAAUUAAACAAUAAAAUUUGAUAAUAUUCUGCUCUUAACAAUAAGAUUUGUAAUCUUUAACAAAUCUUUUGUAUCGUUUAGAAUCUGCUUUUUGAAGUUUUGCCCUCGUUCAUUCAUAUUGCGAUUUAAUGAAUGCUAUGAGGAAGUAUUUCAAGUGUCUGUUUAGCAUAUUUUAUUUAAUUAGUAUAAGUUUUUAUUUAUUUCAUAAGUUCUUUUUAAAUUUUUGUUGUUGUUUAAAUUUAUUUAAUAUAAUUUUUGAAAAUUAAAUAAGUUAUUUUACCACUAUUAGUAAAAGCUCAAAUUUUAAGAUUUUAGAAGUAGAUGUUAAAUAAUUUUUUAAAUAUUUAAAAUAUAGUUUACCCAUUUAAUAAUCUUACUUCAUUCAUUUUAUAAUAUAAUUUUAAAAAAACUUAGUUAUUAAGAUGAUUUUAUAAAUUUUAAUAAAAACUUACAUUGACAACCAAUCAACUAUAUAUUUUUUUUUUGUAAAGCCCGAUUGGGAGUUAGAGAAUCCAUAAUACCUACAGCUGCAGCCCCACAAACUUAAUUUUCAUCAUUUUUGAAAGCGGGGGAAGGGAUUUCUUUUCUACAACAAAAAAAAAAAAACGGAGUAGAUUUGACUCAACACAAACAAAACAAUACGUCUAAAAAGUGCUUGUUUGGUUCGCUCUAUUUAAAAAGUUAUACCAAACAUAAUCUAAAAUUAAUUAAAAUAAAGAGCAAUGCAACAUAAAUCUCAAUAAGUUGGCACCAUCGUACAAUAGAAAAAUAAUACAAUAAAUUAUUUUUAAAAAAUUAAAAUUAUCUACAGCUUAAUGAGCAAGCUAACUUAUUAGGAUAUUGGCUCUAGAUAGAUUUUUGUGGAUAUUUAAAAUUAUCCAAUAAAUUAAUUAUAAAUGAUGAAAACUGAGGGUAGCAAUUGAGUUGAUGAGCUGAAUUCCUGUCGAAUUUUAAACGAGUUUCUUCAAAAUUUGGCUAACUCAGAAUUAAUCUAUUUUAUAAACGAAUCAAUUUGCUUAACUAAAAUUUUAGUUUGAUUUAACCUUAAAAUAAUAUAUAAUAUUAGAUAAAUGUUAUGUACCAUAUAAUAUUUAUGUUUCAUUUUGUCUUUUUCUAAUUCGAUUACAAUAUUGCGCUAGAAGUUAACCGUGUUUAUUAACCUAAAUUGUUUAAAAUAUAAAAGUAAAUAAGUAAUUCAUUUUAUUAAUAAGUUACCUAUUUAUUAAUUGAAUUAAUUUUCUAAAUAUAAACCCAUUUACUACAAAUCGAAUCGGGUGAAAUAAAUGAGUACGGACUCAGCAUCCGUAAAACUGGGUUACACUAAAUGGGUUUGUUCGGUUGUAAUUCACCGUUCAAGCAAUCGAAUCAAACAUGAUUUUUACUUUUAUUUUUUUCAGUUUUCAUUUUACAAUAGAAGUCUGAAAACACAGUAUCCACUAUCCAACACAUUUUCAAAUUAAAUAUUAGUUAUAAACCAUUUCAGAAACAACAAAAUCAAGGGCCCAUGAAAGCAUUUCACCUUCUAUUGGUCCAGCCCAAGAAAGCAGGCCCCACAGAAAUAAAGCGCCCAUGAAAAUCUAUCUUAUCUCCAACGUCAAUAAUUAUCAAAAACAUCACCAACUGAGCCACUCCCCACUCGCCACGUCACCACGUAACGACCUUACCCUUUUCCCCUUCCCCUCUCCCUCACCGGCGGGAAACACAAAAUAUCACUGAAACUUAAAAAAAUAAAAUAAAAUGGCAUUCACAGCUUCACUGUCUUCCCACAUUCCAUUCUACAACAACUCCUCUACACUCUCGCCGAAACGCGGCAAAACAAGUAAAACGACGCCGCUUCUGUGCAAACCAGUAGCUGCAAUUCCCCCACUCUCGACCGCCACCACCAACUCCGUCCUCGACCUAUCCACCAUCGCCGUCAUCAGCGGCGGAUCAAUCGCAGCACUCGCCGCCGUCCUCUCCCUCGCCGACCCCGAGCGCCGGCGCCAGCUCCAGGCCGAGGAAGUCGGAGGCGGAGACAAAGAGGUCGUGAGAGAGUACUUCAACAACUCGGGGUUCCAGCGUUGGAAGAAGAUUUACGGCGAGACCGAUGACGUUAACAGAGUUCAGCUUGACAUUCGGCUAGGUCACUCGAAGACCGUUGAGAAUACGAUGCAGAUGUUGAAUGACGAAGGCUCGCUGAAAGGAAUUACGGUUUGUGACGCAGGGUGUGGGACCGGCAGUCUGGCGAUUCCGUUGGCGAAACAAGGGGCGAUUGUCUCGGCCAGCGAUAUUUCGGCCGCAAUGGUUGCUGAAGCUAGGAAGAAGGUAAAACGACUCGUCGUAUGUUGCAUUAUUGGAACUUGGAAAAUGUGAUUGUUCUAAAAAUUAAAAACAUUUGAUAUUUUAUCCUUAUUUGUUAAAUUUAUGCAGGCAGAAGAGGAGCUGUUAGCAGAAAAUGGAGGGGAAGCACCAGUGAUGCCGAAAUUUGAAGUGAAGGAUCUAGAGAGUUUAGAUGGGAAGUACGACACAGUAGUCUGCUUAGAUGUUUUGAUACAUUACCCACAAAGUAAGGCAGAUGGGAUGAUUGCUCACCUUGCUUCAUUGGCUGAAAAGCGACUUAUUCUUAGCUUUGCGCCAAAGACAUUUUAUUAUGAUUUGUUAAAGAGGGUGGGCGAGUUGUUUCCUGGGCCUUCAAAGGCAACGAGGGCUUAUCUCCACGCCGAAGCUGAUGUGGAGAGGGCGCUACAGAAGGUUGGCUGGAAAAUAAGAAAGAGAGGCUUAAUCACCACUCAAUUCUACUUUGCAAGACUUGUUGAGGCUGUCCCUGCAUAGAGAGGGAGGUGAGGUUAGAUUCAGAUUUUACAUUAUUGCACUUUAUUUGUUGCUAGAAAUUGUUAGGAAAGUUCUCGUGCUUCGUGUGUAAACCCCUGAGUUCUCCUCAUGUGUUAUCACUGUAUAUGUAUAUUACUUCAUCUGUAAGGUAAUUGGAUGUCGGCAUGCCUAACUAUGAAUGCAAAAUGGCAAGAUUUUGAUUAUCUAAAAUUUCGUUGAUAUCAUCAACCUGUUACCUUCAAAGUCUCAUUGACGAGAGAUUGAGUACCAUUUUCUUAACUCACAUUAAAAUUUUCAAGCAGAAAUGUAUAUGUUGUUGUAAAGAAUAUCGAAAACUCAGAAUAUCACUUGGUAUUGAUUUUGAUAGGGAAAAGAUAAAGCCAAAAAAAAAAAAAGGUCCAUCAAACGACUUAGUCCUUGAAUAGAUCAGUUUUCGAAAUCUUUCAGUAUGCUUCCUCUGUUAGCAGUCACCUAAUGUUGGAAAAGAUGGUUUUGGGGACCUUUGUAGAUUGGAGAACCUAUUUUGAGCUUGGGUGUGAGAAAGAUUCUAGAAGCAAGCAUGAGAUUUGUCAUCAACUCCAUCAGAAUGUUUUUCUCGUACGCCUAGUGAUGUUGUAAUUUUAGAAGAAUCUCUUGAAUUACGUAGCUUUCUCCUAUAACUCAUUACCAAUUCUUAAUAGACCGUCUAUGAGUUCGUUCAUGGCAGCAAUCAAGUUAUCAGAAUGCUCCUUCGUUUGUUCCGUAUCAAGGAGACAGUUGAUGGUUCGAGCUUCAACUAGUGGCCCAAACAUUUAAACUUCUAUAAAUGUUUGAUUCAUAAAAAAAUAUAUUAAUAUUUGCAAAUUUAGACCACAUUUUAAUCCUUCUUAAAUCCUAAUUAUGUUGUACCGUAAAUUUGAAUUCAUUGGCUGAAGCGACUUAUAUGAGUGCGUCUGUAAUCUAAUUAGGUGUCAGCAUGCCUAAACACAUAACUUUGAAUGCAAAUUAAUCGGAGAGAUUUUAUUCAUUGUUUAUUUAAAAUUUUGAUGAUAUCAACCUGUUACCUUUAAAAGUUUUGUUGACUAGAGAUUGAAGUACCAUUAUCUCAAACUCAUUUACGAAUUUUCAACCUGAAAUGUAUAUUUAGCAAGGAAUGAAUCUCAUAAACUCAUAAUACCACUUGGUUCUUACUUUGAUAUGGAAAAGAUAAAGCAACAAAAUAAUAAGUCCGUCAAAUAUAUUGAAAAGAUGGGUUUGGGGCCCUCUGUAGAUGGGAGAGCAUUUUUUCUUUUUUGAGCUUGGGUGUGAGAGAAAGAUUCUAAAAGCAUGCAUGAGAUUUGAUGUCAACUAUAUCAGAUGCUUCAUGCACGCUUAGAAAUGUUGUCGGAAGUUUCAGAAAGAUACCUUGAGUUAUGUUGCUUUUUUCCCUAUAACUUAUUAGCAAUUCUUAAUAGAGCGUCUGUGAGUUUGUUUAUAGCAGCAAUCAAGUUAUCAGAAUGCUCCUUCUUUUGCUCCCUAUCAAGUUGACAGUUGAUGUUUUGAGCUUCAAGUUGGGUGUUUAGCAUGCUAUUAUUCCUCUCUAGGACCUUGAAUAACAGAUCUCCCAUGUUGGUCUCUUUGCUAACGCAUGAUGACAAUCUUCUUCGCUUCCAUCUUUCCUGAGUUGUGGAUCCAUUGGCUGUAGUUGUGCCUGCAAGCUUUUCUUUCAAUGUAUCUGCAGGAUAAAUAUAUAUAUAUGAAGCCAAAACAAACCACAAGUUCUUUAUUUUCUUUUUCAUUGACAGUAACCACUGGCAUUUGUCAACAUCAUAUAAAUUCUGUAUCAGGAUGCAUACAUCAGAAUAGUCUAUUAAUCGAAUGAGUAACAAGAAUGAGGGAAGGAAAGGGAAUGAAGGAGAGAGAUUGCAUGAAAUCAUGUGCAAUGCAAACUUCAGUUUUACACUUCAUUUACCUGCAACGUGCAAUUGAGCAGCAACUUUCUUGCGGGGACCCUGUCUUUCAGUUGUUUCCUUCUCAGGAUUGUGGCCAAUUUCCUGCCGUUGAGAAGGUUCAGAAUCUGAGAACAAACCAUCUCCUGCUGCAGUACUUCGGUCACUAUCAAACACCUCAUCAUCCUCAUCCUCCUCUGACACUGACAUGGUCGUCAAUGGAACAGCUGGCAUGGCAAGGACUCCAUCUAAAACAUCAUACACUUCUCUAUCAAAAUAGCCCGGCAGUUUCAUUUGUUUCCUCGAUUCAUUUCUCAUCACCCAGAAAGAUUGUUUCUCUUCCUUCAUCUGCGACUCCCAUCUUUUAAUUUUCCUGAAAUCUACAAGAAGAUUGCCCCAUCUUUUCCGGCAUUGUACUGGUCGUCUGUUGACACCGUACUGUUUACAGUACGUAGCAACCGAAUCCCACUUUGGUUCACUCUGGUCCGGUCUGAAGGCUGAAGUUGACGUGCGAAACCCGCGAAUUCGGUCCUCUACAACCCUCUUGCCUUGUAUGAGCACAAUAGUUUCCUGUCUAGUCCAUCGAGGGUGUCUUGCUGUCUUACUCCUGUCAUCAGUGUUACCACCAAUUGCCUGCUCUUCGUUAUACCCAUUUGGCAGAGAACUGCCAUCUUCAUGCUUAUCAUUUGACCCUGGCGCCAUCACAAAUGAUCUUGACUACUGGCAGAAGAGUUUUGGGAGUCUUGUUUAGGUGUUAGCGAAUUCUGCCCAGUGUUACCCAAUCUUUCAGGCAAUUUAACUAUUUAAGACAUUCUUAAUUCCAUUUCUUUUGACAGGUAAAAAACUACUGUCUCCCACUCAUAGCUUUAAUGGUGAGUUAAAGGUAUGCAUUAUUAUGAAGGGAAAUAUUUUCUUGCGGGAGGACACACGGGGCCAUUAUGAUCUUUUCAUGGGCAAUUUCCUAAUAGACAAGGUUGUUUGAAUAUGCCUGUGAAUAUGUAACUGUAAGCGCCAGAAAUGGUAGUCAUUUUUUUAGCUGUGAACAGAUGGGGCAUGAUAAGCUGGAUAAGGCGAUAACGCAAUUUUUAGAGGAUCCUAAAAUGGGCAAAUUCCUCAUUGAUGACUAGAUUCUCUACCAAAGGAAAAAAAAAUACUUAAUAUGUUGACCAAUCAAUCAUCGAUUGCUCGUAAUCUUAAAUUUAAUGGGAAUUUUAAAUUGUGAUACUUAUCAUAUUAUCCCAUAUUUCAUGCAAGGCUAAGGUUUCUAAAUGAAUACGGAUUAUUAAUAAACGAAUUAUAUAAUUCAGCGUAACGGCGUGCUUAACGUUCAAAGCCAUUUACCAAAAACGCUGCGUUUAAUCCCGUUUCUUUCCCGCGCCUUUCUUCUACGGCAACGUACGGGUAUGUAUAUGUAUAUAUGUAUAUAUAUAUAUAUAUAUAUAUAUAUCGAUAGCCAAAUUGACGAAGCCCUAGAACCAGUAGCUUGCAAAUGGAAGAAGAAACAAUCGGAAUCGAUGAAGAGAGAAAACAACAACACGAAGAAGACGCUUCGGUAACCGAAAUAUUGAGAGACCGAUUUCGACUCUCCACCAUCUCCAUCGCCGAAGCCGAAGGUUUCGUCCUUUCCAAAAUUAUAAAUUUGAAUAUGAAGACAUAUCAAUCAAAUGCAGCGUUUUCAAUUUUUUUUCUUUUUCUGGCUAAUCAAGCAGCCAAUCAAAUCGGCAUGGAGAUAUCGAAACCGAUUAUAGCUUGUAUUUCAGAUUUGGCAUUCAAAUACACAGGUAUAGAUCGCAUCAUAAUCAUCGUCAUUGCUAUUGAAUUGAGAUUGAUUGUACAGCGUUCAAUUUUUUUCUGUACUAUCAAUGGAAUUAGGUUAUUAGAGAACAACUAAUUUUUUUUUUUUUGAACGUAUUUAUUUAGUAUUUGUGCCGUUACUUUGAAAGUUUAGAAUGCAACUUUAUUUUUAUUUUCGUAAUGUAAUUUUGGUUAUGCAUCUGUGACGAAAUUUGUUAAAGAUUGAUCAAUUUAGAUGCCAUCAACGUAAUCAAUAAACCUAACUAUGAAGAUUGAUAUGAAUCACGUUAUCAUCUAAUUGGCCACUGAAUAUAGAUAUGACCUUAAUGACUAAGGCAGCUUCCAAACCCUGUGCUCAAACUCUCCUUGAUGGGCAAGUCUUUUACAAGGAAUUGGCAACCUUUUGUUUGAAUCUUUUUUUGGGUUGUAAUCAUGAGAUGUAUUGCUGACACAGCUUUGAGAACAAGUUUCCCAUAUUUGUUGAUGUUAAGGUCAUUCUAGGAACCAUUGUUAAGAAGCUUACUAAGUUUGAUAGGCAAACAGGACUACCAACUUGAGAUUGCAAAUGCCAUGAGUCUACACACUGCUCGAUAUGAUGGGCUUAUUAAGCAUAUCAUGAGAUGACUGACUAUUGUGACGAAUUGAUGGUUAUGGACGCUGCCAUCGUUUUUCAAAGAGGAGUUGUUGAUGAAAAAGGGCAAAUCACAUGUUGCUUUAACUAUAUCAGAAAAACUUUCUCAAUCAACGAUGAAAGAGUGUUUUCUCAACCUCCUACUAGUCCAAAUUUAAGAUUUUACUCUCAACCUCUUAUUGCAUAUGUGAUAGCUAGUCUACUGAGUGAUCAUUUAAUUUUUGGCUAGCUACAAGAAAGAGUGUUUUCUCUCUUUCACACAGUUUGCAGCUGUUCUGUUUCGCCCAGCAGCUUGAGUCUCCACCACUGUUUCUUCAUUGAACAGAGCAAGAUUUUACUAUAAAUUAAGCAUAUAAGUCCAGAAACCAUGUGUUUUUCUUGAAUUGGUUUUAGAAUUCAGUUACUUUCAAUCAAAUUUUAUAUUUGACAUUUGUACUUCAUCUCCCUUAAGGAAAGUAGUGACAUUAAGCAUCACUAUUGGACAAUGAUGCAUAACCUUUACAACUUCUUUGAAAACUUGAGAUGGUGAAGUUUUUUUCCGCACCAACCGUGCCAUUUUAAUGCUCUUUGAAGAUUGCUAAGCCAAGCCUGGCCGAACUAAUCAGGAAGAUACUCUUUUGAAAUGCAGAACAGCUUUCAAAGGACCUUGAGCUAUUUGCACAGCAUGCUGGACGUAAAUCUGUGAGAAUGGAAGAUGUCAUACUUUCAGGUGAGUGUUCCUCGGUCAUGACUUUGCUAGGACCAUUAGCAUCAAGGUGUCUGAAUGUUAUGAAUGAACAUUUAUUUCACCAGAAGACACAGCCUAAGCAUUUCUUGCUCUUGACCAAGAUAUUCAAAAUCCCUGCUCUGUUACCAUGGCACAUAUUUGCAAUCAUGAUUAUGCAAAAGUGAGAGAGAGAGAGAGAGAGAGAGAGAUAUGCCAGGGUUGAGAGAAGGGGAGAAAUGGCAUAUAUUUAUGUUUACAUUUGGAUUAGCUAGAAACUUUUUUAAUUUCUGUGAAUGUUUUAAGACUGGUGUAAUUUGGUUUUAGCACAUAGGAAUGAACAUCUGGCCGCCACUUUAAGGUCCUUUCGCAAUGAUUUGAAAGCUAAAGAACCACGAUCUGAAAGGAAACGGAAGAAAUCUUCAACAAGGGAAGACAUAACUACUACCAAUGUCGUGCAAGUACCUGAUCUCUAAGUCAGGACUUCCAGGUAUGUGCACUCGCAUUUGGUAAUGAAGGCCUAUUAUUCUUUGAUAAUUAAAUAACACUUCAACAAUGACUUCUCUACUUGUUAUCCAAAUCUUUCUUAUCUGUAAAAUGAAUUGCAUUUGUAUUUCUCUGAAAGUACUAUAUCUAUAUACUUAUAAUUUUCUUAAAUUGCUGAAAACCUGAUCAACAAGAUAAGUUUAAGUCGAAGGGUGUUUAGGAUUAUAGUAUGGUUUGUAUUAUGUUUGUUGCUUGAUACUAAUUUCUACUAAAGAGUAAAGACAGUAUCUCAAAAUUGAAGUUUGGCCGUUUUGGAGUCCAUCCAUUUCUUGAUCAUGACUUGGACAUUCUCGUUACUAAUUUCUUUCUAAACACAACCUAUACCAAUUUACAUCAUUAUAUUCCCAAAUUAAGCUGAAGCUUUAGCAAUUUCUCAGUUACCGAGAAGUUGAUUAAUUUUCAACUAUGGGUAACCCUGAUGACUUGGAGGAAGCGUUUAAUAGAUUUUCAGGUCGCAGUUGAUGAGUCAUGAAUAUUGUUUGAUGAAAUUUGAGAGAAGAGGUGAUAUUGUAAAUAUCAAUAAUGGUUUUAAGAGGAUGAUAUAUUGGUGCUAAUAGGAUCAUAAGGAACCUUUCUCGUGGAAACUGCUGAGUUCGGUAAUUUUGUAGCCAUCAACAUCAAGGGUGGGAUAUCUAGAUACGAGAUUGUGAGUCCAAGUUGGGCCUUCAAAUCAUGUGGACCACUUUAGUUCAGACUUGGCCCAACUUUGUAAGGAGAGGACCUUAUUGCACUUUGAACAAACUACUGAUGUGCCCUAUAACCGGAAAUCAUAAAUUUUAGGGAAAAAGAACUAGAGUCCACUGCAAUUUAUAUUUUAUAGGAUAUAUUUUGCCCCUGAGCUUGGCUAAGUGUUUUCCUUGUCUUCUUUGGCUGGCCACUAAUGUUCAAACUUUGGUUUAGUUAGGGAGAUUAAAAAUUGAUUUGCACUUAGUAUUAUUAUUAUUAUAGGAAAUAAAUAAUACAGAGGAGAAAAAAUUAAACACAAGCGAAUGAUAACAGAUGGAUCCUAUCAACAAAUGACGAAGCUUCAAAGUUUUGUUUAUAAUUAGUUCAAUUUUGUUGGAUUUCACUAUGUAUCAAACAAAUUUUUGAAAAUAAAAACCAAUGAUAGGUCGAGUGGUGACAUUGAGCUAUAUAAUAUUUAAACAAAAAAUAUAAGAAGAUAAUCUUUGAAAACUACUUUUAAUGUACUUUAUUCAUUUCAGUCAAAACAUUGCAAAGCAAUUACAAGAAUUGAAACUUGGAAGUGUUUUUGACAAUUUUAAAAACUAGUUUCAAAUGCAUCAUUAUGUCUUGAAUGAAAUAAAAUAAAAUAUUAACUACUAAUAUAUCUAUCUUUAUUUAACUUUUAAAGAAAUGGAGUAUAUUUUUUAUUAUUGCACGAGUAUGAUUGUAAAAAAGAUAGGUAUGCAAGCUGACAAAUCAUAUAUGGUUCUCGGCCCAAAUUGGAAUACAUUUUUUUUUUGUUUUACAGCCGCAGCUCUUCUUCAGUCAAGCUCGGAAAGAAUAGGAGAGCAAGUAUUAGUACCAUAGUAAAAAUACAUUCCUUAUCAUUAAUAUGGUUGCUCGCGGAAAUUGUGGUCCCUCAGAAAAAUGGAUGACUAUAUCUUUAACUCUUUGUCAAAUAAAUUUUAUAUAUUGGAUGGGUACCCUAUCUGUUUAGUCCACAAGCUCCCAUGAAAUGGAUGUGUUUGGGUAUUCAAUAUAGGUGGGCUGUUAAUGUCACAUCUUGGUAUGAUUUAGACCACACAACGCAAAUUGAAUCAUUUUCAAAUAUGAAAAAUAUGUCACAUCUCGUUCAAGAAUUUAUAGUGAGGUCAAAUACCACUCAACUGACUGGUAAUUUUUUGAGGCAAAUUGGAUCCUGUGAAGCAAGUCUCUUGAUGUUUACAGUUCAUUAAUUUGAUUAAAUUUUGCAUUCGGUCCAAUUCAAAAUCACAAAAAUUUUAUUCGGGUGCUGCAAAUUGUUUUUAAAAGAUUCAAAAGAAAUAUGAAUCGUUUGAGGGCAACGAGAACCAGUUGAAGUUGAUUACGUCUUAGAUUUGAUUAUUGUACCAUCCGCCCAUGUGCACAUUAGGUAUAUGCUCUCUAUAUUUAGGUAUCUCUUUUUGGAUGCUUUUGUUCUUUUUUUUUUUUUUUUUUGAAAGAAUGCUUUUGUUCUUUUUACCAAAACUGCACAUUUGAUUUGCUGUCUUAUGAACAUUUGUUUAGCAAAUUUCAAAAAAAAAAUGAUGAAAGGAUAUUAUUAAUUCUUAGACCAAUUCAUUUGGAGAUUAUCGGUAAAUUUUGUCAAAGAAAAAACUGAUCAUUCUGAUAACUCUAAGAUUUUUCUUUUUUAAAUACACCAUAAUUACAAAUUUACUUAUAUUUAGAAAUUUCAUAAGUCAAAUUUUCAACAAUAUAGUUUAAAUAUCUGAACUCACGACGAAUCAGAUAUAUUUUCGAACAGUUAAACUCGAAUAAUCGAAUUACUCUGCGACACAUGAGUGUUGCCACAGUCAGUGGAUUGUUGCAACUUACAAAUUUAAUAUUUUGUUUGUAUGUUUGGCAGAAACUUUUUGAUUUUGAAAUGAGAACUCGUGAAAAAUGAUAAAGACUUUUUUUUCAGUUUCAACGGGUAAAUAAAGAGCGGGAAGGCUAUUCAACUAAAUUGCUUGCAAUUGAAUUAAGCUUUGAAAAGGUCGUCAGGUCACGCAGUUGGAGGUGGAAAUGAAACCGAAACUGAAUUACUUUCUGGCAGUUUCUCUCGAUGCGGCAAAUAUGCGCAGAAGAUAACGAGUGUCUUGUGUCACAAGCAUUUUCUUCAAUUUAGUGCACAUUCACACACCCAACGCAUCUUUUGUUCAAAACGCGCCUCUCAGACUCAAAUGCUUAGCCUUUUUUUUUUUUUUUUUUUUGAAAAAAAAUAGUAAAUCCAAAAUUGCAUUAAAAGAGCCAAAAGCAGUUGAUACAAGUCACGUCAUAGUUAAAUACAAUUGGCCACACGGCUGAAUCGAAUAUAAUGUGUAAGGGUUUUACGGAAGUCAUGACUCAAGUCUCGGUUAAUCUAGCAAUAAAUAUUAUGAAUCUCUUAAAAAAAUGGUUCUGAGAAUUUUUUGAAUAUGGCAUAAUCUAUGCAUCCUAGCUAUCUCAGACAAUAAACACAUUCAAAUUUAAAAAAAAAAAAAAAAAAACCUUUAUUCGCAACACAUACCGUGGCUCAUUAAAAGUUAAAUUUGUUGAAUAUAAUUCAAAAGCUCUCUGUCCUGGCCUGGGUUAGGGAUGGCAAAAAUCCCCACGGGGACGGGUACCCUCGGGGAUUUUCCCCAUUCGGGGAGGGUAUGGGGAUAAUUUCAUACCCAAUUUCUUAUUCGGGGAGGGGGCGGGGAAAUUUUUUUACCCAAUUUCUUAUUCGGGGAGGGGACGGGGAUGAGGUGGAAUCCCCAUCCCCUACCCAUUUCCCCAUUUUAAUUUUUAAUUUUAUUUUAAUUUUUUAAAAUUACUAGUAAAUAAAUAAUAAAAUUAUAAAUAUUGGUAAAAAUAAAAAAUAUCGAAAUAUUUAUACUAUUAAACUUUUAGGCCUAAUUAACUAAUUAAAGUCCUAAAUUUUUAUUUAGGACAUUAAAAAGAUCGAGUAGAUUCUAUUAGCCAAACAUUUUUUUUAAUUUUAAUAUUCUUUAAAUAUUUUAAACUUAAAUCUAUUUUUUAUUUAUUUUUAGAUGUUAUAAUUGCCCACAGCGAAUCACAAUUUUAAUAUCUAAUCUAAUCUAAUCUAAUCUAAUAUUUGCUUUUGAUUUGCUCCGAUUUAACUAUUGUGUUGUAAAAGGAAUAAUCCACAUUUAUAAAGUGCCCACGCCACCAUUGAAAAAGUUAAUUUUGAAUCUAAAUUCGAUUUUAUUUGUAACAAUUCUGUAUUAAACUAUUAAUUUGUUUAUGAUAGUUUGUAAAAGAAUUUUGUAUUCCUUGCAUGUUGCGUUACUUACUAAUUUAAUGUAUGUGACUUUUGUAAUAUAUAUUAAUGUAAGAUAUAUUUUGAACUUUACUUUUAUUUGAAUUUUUUAUUUUAAUAUGAUUAACUCAAAAUUGAAAAAAAAAUGUAUUAGUUAUUCGGGGAUCGGGGACCCUCGGGGAUCCCCUGUUAUUAUUCGGGGAGGGGAUGGGGAUUCUCUCAAGUAAUUCUGACGGGGACGGGGAGGGGACGGGGACAUACGCAAAAUAUCGGGGAUGGGUACGGGGAGAUCGGUCCCCUCCCCUCCCCUCCCCAUUGCCAUCCCUAGCCUGGGUUAUAAUUUGUUCCCAAAAAACGGUUGAUGUUUCAUCUCGGCGACGCGCGUGCUAGCGCGUGGGUACUGUGCUGACACCUGAAUCAAGAUUCUCUGAAAUCAUUUGUACUCGUUGUUCGCAAGGAUGUCUUUUUUCUGUUUCUGAGCCUUUGAUGGUCAAUGUCAUGGUUACAUCGUGCGGCUCACAUGGUUCCAUCAUAUCACUUGAAGCCUGACCUAAUCUAUUUCCAGGCCUUUUCUCGGGGCCAAUUGCUAACGCCAUUGUGCAACUCCUGACCGUACGAGGGGUGGUUAGUGCUUGACCGCUAGUGUGGUACCAAGUACAUGUAAUUCAAAGAUCGGGAAUGAGACUCUCAUUUAUUUUUUUUUAAUGACAAAUAUUACUCAUGGUAUUUAUAAUUAUAUAAAUAUUAAGAUCCGUUUACAUCAAUUUUAAUAUCGCAUUAUUCAAAUUUUUAAUCCUCUCAAAUAUUCGAGAUACAUCAACUCUCAUCCUGAAAGAAACACUGCUUUCACUCAAGCUCUGGGACUCCGAAAAAAGAAAUGUAAAUUAAAUCCUUACAAUACGUCUACGGACUCGAACUACUUCCCUCACAAAUCACUUCCCUCACAUUUGUGAGGGAGUGACUCUAGCCACUUGAUCUUAGCUCAAGUGGUUAGACUCUCAUUUUUUUAGAUUGACCAUUUUACCUUCUUUCAAAAUUUAAAUACCCACUUUAUCUUCAUUUAAUUAAUUAACAUAUUAAUAUAUUAUUAACAAUAAUUAUUAAUAUUUAUAAUUUUUGAAUAAAUAAUCACAAUAAUUAUAUAUUAAUAUUAAUAUUAAUAUAUUAAUUAUUAAUUCAUCUAUUAAUAUUAACUAAUUAAUAUAAAUAGUACUAUUAAUUAAUAUAUUAAUAUACUAUUAACAAUAAUAUAUUAAUAAUUAUAGUUCUUGAAUAUAUAUUAAAAAAAUUGAAAAUUUAUUAUAAUUAUGGAAUUCAGUUAUGGUUGUUGUUGUUAUUAUUAUUAUUAAUUCUUUUUAUUUUUAUUUUUAUAAAAUUUAUUAUUGUUGUUGUUGUUGUUGUUAUUAAUUUAUUAAUUAUUACUAUUAUUUAUUUUUUAAUCAUCAUCAUCAUCAAAUGAUAAUGAUUAACAAAAGGUACUUUAAUAUAUUAUUAAUCAUAUUAUUUUAAUAAUAUUAUUAUUAUUAAUCAUUUUUAUAAUAAUAAAAAUCACAAAUAAUAAUAAUAAUAGCAGUAGUUAUUAUUAUAAUUAACUAAGGACAUUUUAGUAACUUGAAACAAUUCACUUAUUAUGAUUCGAUUCCAAGAUAAAUUAAACACAUCAAUGGGAUUCUAACUCAUUCACAUUCCAAUUCUUACAGUUCAAGUAAAUAAUUUAUUUUGAUUCUCAUUUCAACUCAUUCCGAUUUCAACUCAUUCUGAUUUCAACUCAUUCUAAUUCCAGUUUAUUCUGAUUAUUGACAAAUAAACGCAACGUAAGAGUUAUUCCUAAUAACCUAAUAGUAUUCGACAAUAAAUUAUGCUUAAAUUAUUUAAAACAACUUUUAUGUAGAUGUAUAUGUAACUUAGCAAGGUGACUCAACUCAAGGUUAGCACUAUACUCUGUUAUCUUUCAUGCGAUGAAAUGUCCAAUAACCUUUUAGUAUUUUGACAAUAAAUUACACUUAAAUUAUUUGAAACAACUUUUAUAUUGGUGUAUAUAUUACUUAGUUAGGUGAUUCAAUUUAAAGUUAGUACUACACUCUGCUUUCUUUUAUGAAUCAUGAUAAUGUAAGGUAAAUUUUUCCACAAAGGCUGUAAAAUGAAUAAAGCCAUAACAAUAGAAACCAAAGCAAAGUGCAUCUCCUUUAUAAAUUCCUGCUUAAAAUUGGUCCACUCAUAUUACAUAUAUAUUUAUAUAUCAGUUUUCCUUUUUGCCCUUUUUCUUCUUUCGUAAUCGUUACAAGAUGCUCAAAUUUUCGACUGUCUUCAAAUGUUUUCACCAUUAAAAUCCCACCAUGCUUCCAAAAAGGCCAAAAGCAAAAAAAGAGAUGUCACUUGAAGCUGACACGUGGCAGUGAUAUCAUGGAACGUAGUACCACAAAACUUAUCCAUCACCCAUAAUAAAACCCCGUGCCCCAACACCCGUUUCCCCACCUCCCCAUUGGCCCGUCGCUUUCAUGUUUCAUGCACAUGCACGCAACAACAGCUGUAGUGUACACUGUACACUUACAAUAGCAAGAUCAGAUCCAACGGCCACCACGACGCCUCCGUUACCACGGGAACCUCUCUAAGACUGUAACCGAACCGUCUCUGCUUUUUGUGUCUCUCUCCGUUUCGCUUUCACAAUAAGCGUCCGAUUUAAUGGAAAUUUGUUAGAAGCUGUGUUUGCCCAGUAAUUGUAUCCGAAACGAAACAAAACAAACAAAUCCUUUUGUGUUUUUCUUUUGUUUUUUAUUUCCACGGUGUACAUUAAAGAAUAAUCCUUUUUUGUUUCGUUUUUAGACGCAAAUGCAAUUGAUCGUCAUUUAUGACAAAUUAUUUAUUAAAAAAAAAAAAGAACACCCACGUCUCAUUAGAUUUCUUUCUUUUUUUUUUCCUCCCUAAUUUGAUCCUUGCUUUUGUUAAAAAUGAGAGAUCCCUAAUAAUUAUUCCAAAAUACUUACAUAGACUACGACGGUUAUUCACAUUCGAAUAUUAUCGAUAAUACCAAAUAUUGAGAUUAAUUUUCUUUUAACUUAAAAUCUAUGUAAUUGACGUACCCCAAUUAUUGAUCCUAAUUUUCUUUUAACUUAAAAUCUAUGUAAUUGACGUACCCCAAUUAUUGACCCUUACACCGUAGAUAGAAUAAGAUGGUUUUGUUUCUCGUGUUUGGUUUCAUUUUAGUUAUGGGAAAAUAAAAUUAUAGCCGAGAGAGGGAAUUUCCCUCUUUAGAUUGUUAUUUCUAUUACAUUCAUCCUUUUCUUGCUCUUGUAUUCUAACUGUUCUGUCGACUCCAAUAAUGGUCCAUGUGGAUUUUAAUUAUAGUGACUUGUCUUUGUAUGGUUUGUGCAUCAAUUAUCGAGAAAUAUUUGAAUUUAUCCAAGUAACAAUAGUUUUCGGGGAAAAAAAUAAUAGUUAAAAUUGGAUUCUUAAUUAUUGUUAUUCUAAGAAAAAAAAAAUUAUUUUUUUCUCUGUAAUUUAUGUAUACAAAAACCAUACAAAAGGAUCCAACUUUCACUAUUUUCUCAUGUAUUCUUUUUUGUUCAUCCAGAACUUUCGCAUUCGUUUAUGUUAUUCCAACAAAUUAAACACCACCUAUAUUAAUCUUGGAACUUUUUUUUUUUUUUUGGGGUGAACCUCGGCCGUACAACGAGGCUUGGAAAUUAUUUUAGUCCGUACUGAACUAAAAUAAUAGUUCGAUUCAUUGAGAUUAAUAUGUUUUAGUUAUGUAUACGGAUAUACGAAUUUUUUAGGUGCUAAUAUGAAUAUUAGUAAUACUGAAACAUUUUAAAAAUGUGUUAAAGAUCAAUAUAAAUAUUACUUCUUAUAUUAUGCUUUAUUAUAAAUAUUUAAAAAAUUACUGGGUCUCAAAUAAAUUUUAGAAGGUUAGAGAUGUCGUCCCUUUCACUUUGGAUAUUGUUUGAUGAUCAGUGAAACAAUAAAAUUUGAUUAUUUGACGGUGUUAAAUUGUAGAAUAUAUAUGAUACCUUUAAUAGUAUAAGAGUACUGCUAUUGAGACUCAGGAACGACAAAAGGAAGACAGAAACGGCGGCAUAUGCUGUCGUUUUCUAUCCUCUCUCUUUAGAAAAUGAGCAUGCGUGAAUUUUAAGUUAGACCCACAAUCAAUUUAAAAAAUUAAAUUAAACAUAAUGCGUGAGCCAAUAAAGUAUUAACAAGAAAUUUUUUUUCUCUCACCUCUCUUUUAGCUGGAAUAGAAACCACAAACUCACUCACGCACGCACUCUUUACUUCCCUUUUGACAAACCACAUAAUCACACCCACAAUCAACAAUCAGCCACGCACUCUUACUUUCCGUUUGACAAACCACAUACGACGGACGAGCCCACAGACGACGGACCACCACCAUCACGUGAUCGAGGAAGUAGAACUCACGCGGUGGUGCGUUGGAGCCGCGGUUCUUUCGAGCUAAAAGGUCGGCGUUCCUGUUGGUUUUCGUCGGCGAGGAUGGUAGGGAAACGACGGUCGGCUUCCAAGCUUCAGAUCAAUACCUUGAUCGGCCGGUGGAGUUGUCGGGAUCGUGAAAUCCAACCGGGUCACGUUCGUGGAUCGGGUUGGGUCGGGUUCGCGAUUUUUGAGCUAAAUCGACGGCGUUCUUGUUGGUUUUCGGCGGCAAGGAUGGCAGGAAAACGAGGGCCGACUUCCAAGCUUCAGAUCAAUACCUUGAUUGGCCGGUAGAGUGGCCGGGAUUGUGAAAUCCAACCGGGUCACGUUCGCGGGUUGGGUUCGUGGGUCAAAUUGGGGCAACCUCUCUCCCUUCUCAUCUCCUCAUCCACUCACAAAGCGCCACACCACGGCUCCCCUUAGCCAGGUUAUUGUUGCUGGAAUUUUUUUUGCUGGAAGUGUUAUUGGAAUUUUUUUUGCUGAAAGUGUUACUGGUGCUGGAGUUGUUGCUGCUGGAAUUUUUUUUUUUUUGUGUUUGUGUGUUUUUGUUUGUCUCUGUUUCUAUUCCUGUCUCAACUACAAGCUUCUAUAAUAAGUGUUUGGCCUCGGCACAAAAUCAAUGUUUGUAAUAGAGAUAAUCAAUAAAAGUCAGUUCAGUUUUCCAAUUUUGUCCGUUUGGCCUGGGCACAAAAUUUUUUAUGUUCUGAUUUAUUUUCGAAACAGAGCAGAACUCACAACGUGCUGCCCAGCUGAAAUGAAUUGAAGCAAAGCAGAGCGACAUCGUUUGAUGAAAAGGGAAUGCUCACACGGUGCUAAGCUGAAAUUAAGAGGAAAAAUGAUUAAAAUUAGUUUCCUAUCCUCUCUAUCUCUCUGGGGAGAUUUGCUGGAUAAAGUAUAAGGAAAAAGAUAAAAUGAAGAAAUUUGAGCUGCUUUUCCAUUUUCUUAUUCUUUAUUUUAUUAUUUAUUAUGGUCCCAUGCAUUUUCGAAUUGGCGUAAGGCAACGCGUGAAACCACGCUAGUUUUUGUCGUCCUUUAGUCUUCCUUUAGUUUGUUUACCAUUUUCCUAUAAGUAAACUCAUUAAUUUUGGCCUUAAAAGGGAACACAAACACAUCAUCCCCUCAUUAGGGCAAAGUCAAUAAUCUAAUCGUGCCAGCAAAUAAAGUUUGGCAAUGCUUCCUCGUUGUGUUUGUUAGAUGGACACAACGGCAACAGCAUGCAUUAUCAAUCACAUGGAUCAUUACCCAGAUUCUUAACGUGUGGACCCCCCGGCACCCCCGUCUAAUGUCUAAUCUAAUUGGCUUUUUAGCUGAAAUCGUGCCCACGUGGCGCCAUAAAACACCUUUCAGAUAUCUCAACAAUUUUUCAACGCUUUUAAAAUUGAUUUGGUUUAGAUAUCAUGAAAUAAAUGGUCUUAAUAAAUACAUCAUGGUUGGAUAAAAAGAAAAUAAUUGAGAAAGAUAAUUUAACACUUUUAUAUCAUUUUCUUAAAUAAUUGGGGGAUUAACAAUUUUGUUAUUCCAUGCUCACCUUAAAUCAUGUUAUCAUAUGAACUUUGAGAAUAAUGGAUGAUCCAUGUUUGAUUUGUUGAUGUUAUUGUAAUUCAGUAAUUUUCAUCGAACCUUCUCAUUUUUUAUUUAAAUA
rnacentral:lncRNA from 1 species